AGGCACUCCAGGUCGGCGAUGAGGGCCUCGGACUCGGCGAGGGCCUCAGCGUACUCCACACACUCCACGUCGCAUUCGUACGCAUGUUGGUACGUGGAUCCGACGGUGAUGACCCCAUUGGGGCCUGACAUCUUGAGCUUGAGGUAGGUGUAGUUGGGGACAACCAUGAACUUGGCGUAGCACGGUCUCCCCAGCACCGCGUGGUAGGUUCCUCGGAACCCGACCACCUCGAACAUGAGGGUUUCCCUGCGGAAGUUGGAGGGAGUUCCGAAGCAGACGGGCAGAUCGAGUUGUCCAAGGGGCUGGACGCGCUUCCCGGGGAUGAUCCCGUGAAAGGGCGCUGCACCGGCCCGGAUCAUGGACAGAUCGAUCUCCAAGAGCCCGAGGGUCUUGGCGUAGAUGAUGUUGAGGCUGCUGCCUCCGUUCAUGAGGACCUUGGUGAGCCUAGUGUUGCCGAUGACGAGGUCGACAACGAGCGGGUACUUUCCCGGGCUCGGCACGCAGUCGGGGUGGUCGCCUUGGUCGAAGAUGAUGGGCUUGUCGGACCAAUCUAGGUAGACUGGUGCUGCCACCUUUACCGAGCAGACCUCCCGGCGCUCCUGCUUGCGGUGCCAAGCCGAGGCGUUCGCCACUUGCCCACCAUAGAUCAUGAAACAGUCGUGGACCUCGGGGAACUCCUCUGCCUUGUCGCCCUCCUUCUUGUCAUUGUCUUGGCCUUUGCCACCUUCCGCCGGGGCCCCGACCUUAUAGAAGUAGCACCGAAGCAUGACACAUUCCUCAAGGGUGUGCUUGACGGGACCCUGGUGGUAGGGGCACGACUCCUUGAGCAUCUUGUCGAACAGGUUGGCCCCUCCGGGAGGCUUCCGAGGGUUCCUGUGUUCGGCAGCAGCGACAAGAUCUGCGUCGGCGGCGUCGCGUUUCGCUUGCGACUUCUUCUUGGCCUUCUUCUUCGUGACACGCUGGGCGGACGCCUCGGGAACGUCUUCCUGCUGGCGCCCCUGAGGCUGCUUGUCCUUCCGGAAGAUGGCUUCGACUGCCUCCUGACCAGAGGCGAACUUGGUGGCUAUGUCCAUCAACUCGCUCGCCUUGGCAGGAGUCUUGCGGCCCAGUUUGCUCACCAGGUCGCGGCAAGUGGUGCCGGCGAGGAACGCCCCGAUGACAUCCGAGUCGGUGAUGUUGGGCAGCUCGGUGCGCUGCUUCGAAAACCGCCGGAUGUACUCUCGCAGGGAUUCCCCUGGCUGCUGGCGGCAGCUUUGGAGAUCCCAGGAGUUCCCAGGGCGCACGUACAUGCCCUGGAAGUUUCUAGCGAAGGAUUUGACCAGAUCGUCCCAGUUGGAGAUCUGCGCAGGAGGCAGAUGCUCUAGCCAGGCUCGGGCGGCGUCAGAGAGGAACAAGGGGAGGUUGCGGAUGAUGAGGUUGUCAUCGUCCGUUCCACCCAACUGGCAGGCCAGCCGGUAGUCCGCAAGCCACAACUCCGACCUUGUUUCCCCUGAGUACUUAGUGAUGGUAGUCGGGGCCCAGAACCGGGUCGGGAACGGCGCCCGUCUUAUGGCCCGGUUGAAGGCUUGCAGACCUGGUGGUUCGGGCGAGGGGCUCCGAUCCUCCUCACUGUCGUAGCGUCCCCCACGCCUGGGGUGGUAGCCUCGGCGCACCUUCUCGUCGAGGUGGGCUCGACGGUCGCGGCGGUGGUGCUCGUUGCCGAGGCGACCCGGGGCUGCAGGCGUCGCGUCCCGCAUGCGCCCGGUGUGGACCGAAGCCUCCCGCAUGAAUCGGGAAGUUGCUGCACGAUGCUCUGGGGGGCACCCUUGCCUUCGGGAGGCAGAGCUUUCGGCCCGUCGGACUGUGGCAUCCUCUAGGAGAUUCUUGAGUUCUCCCUGGAUACGCCGCCCAUCAGUGGUGGAUGGCUCCGACAUCGCUCGGAGUAGUAUCGCCACUGCAGCCAGAUUCUGGCCGACCCCGCUGGAGGCCGGGGGCAGCCUUGCCCUGGCAUCGUCAACGAUACGGCGCUGGACGUCCCGGGCCUGAUGACGUGCUUCUCCGGCGAGUGCUCGGCCUACCCACUCCUGCUCGAUGUUUUGCAGGAGCUGCACAAGUUGCCCUGCUUCCUCGUCGAGCUUGGCCUGCAUCUCGCGGAUUUGCUCGAGCUGUGUGUCCUGACCCCCCGCAGGGACUAGGACCACAACUAGCUCCCACAGGAUGUCAAGGCGAGGCGCAUGCCUAGGGGAAUCGUCAUCCUCUGGCAUACCGAGGUGGUUGCCUUCGUCGUGACCCCCUAGAUCGACGUGGAAACAUUCGCGACUUGGGCCACAACCCUCAUCGUCAAGGCUGUGGCCAUCAUCGGAGAGGCAGUAGUCGCAUGCGGUCAUGAAGUCUCGCAUGGCACUGGGAUUACCGAGCCCGGAGAAAUCCCAACCAAAGUCGGGCUCGUCUUCUUCCUCGAAACCUGGGGGCCCGUAGGUUGAGACGGCCGUCACUCGGUCCCAGGUUGACCACAUAUGGUACCCUGGAAGGUUAGGAUACGCCUUAAUGAAAGCGCUCACCGAAGCGGGGUCGUUUGGUGGAUCGAAGCUGAAUCUAAAAGGCACAGGGUGGAAAACGGACGGUACCUCUCGAUCGAUGGACGGUGACGAGGUCGCGUCGGGGACGGACUGCACCGUUAUUUCAGGUACAAGGCUAACGCCCAGCAAGCCCUUUGCGAGAGUGCUGGCGUCAUCUGUCCGCCUGGGGUUGGCAUGUUGCGGGAAACGACACUCGUCGUUGUCUCAGGCGCGAGGACAACGCCCAACAUGUCCCCCGCUGGGGUGUCGGCGUCGUCGACUCGCUCGACAGCCGACGAGAUGCUGCCUCCUGCCUGGCCACGAUUGCCCCGUCUCCUCCUCUUGCGGUGAGGAGGGUGGCAGGACAAACCUGGAUGCUGCUCUUCCGCCACGGGGGGAAGACGUCGUCGAGUUCGCCAGCGUCGGGCGAGCUGACGGCCGUCAUUGUCGCUGUCGCGCUGCGGAGGGAGGAGUACCAUGUCGUAGCUGCCGUCGAGGGACAUGAACUCGAGGCUCCCGAAGCGGAGCAGCGUCCCGGGCUGAAGAGGUUGCUGGAGGCUACCCAUCUGGAAAUCAACGGGAAGUUGUUCGUCAACACGCAGCAGGCCCCUACUUGGCGCGCCAACUGUCGACGUUUCGACCCCGGGGGGGUCCCUGGACCGAUGAGUAAAAUUGUCGCUGCGUGUCCCAGCCCAGAUGGGUUGGCGCGAGAUGGAACACAAGGGGGGAAAACACGGCUCGUGUUAUCCUGCGCCAGGGGGAUGCGCUCGUAGUAGGGGUUACAAGCGUUCACGAGGGAGAGAGAGUGAGCCUGUUCGUUAGCCCGUCCUCCCGCGCGACCCUCCCGCAUGAGGGCCCUGGACCUUCCUUUUAUAGAUGCAAGGAGAGGGUCCAGGUGUACAACGGAGGUGUAGCUAUGCGCUAACGUGUCUGAUAGAGAGGCGUCUGAGCCCUGUGUACAUUCCAACGUGGCUGUUGGAGAGGUGCUAGAGCUCUGUGUACGCAGUAUCGUGGCUGUCGGAGGAGCGCUUGAGCCCUGUAGAAGCACAGCUGUCGGGGCUCCUGGGAUCUUGCUGACGUCUCCUUGCUUUCGUAGGGGGCUGAGAACCACCGUCGUCAUGGACGCACGCGGGGAGCUAUCAUUACUUGUUACCAGGGCGAGCCUGGAUGGGACGCUGGUCUUGUUCCCCCGUAGCCUGAGCUAGCUAGGGGUAGGGUAAUGAUAUAUCCCCCGUGGCAUGGUCGGUCCGAGCCCAAGGUUGGGCGAGGCGGAUACUCCUCCUGAGGCCGAGGCUGGGGUCGGGCGAGGACGCGAUUCCUCCCGAGGUCGAGGUUGAGGCCGAGCCCUGGGGUCGGGCGAGGCGGAGACCACCCUCCGAGGCCGAGGUUCAGGCCGAGCCCUGGGGUCGGGCGAGGCAGAGUCCUCCUUCCAAGGCCGAGGUUGAGGCCGAGCCCUAGGGUCGGGCGAGGCGGAGCUUCCUGUUGCGCCCGAGGCUGAACUUGGCUGUUGCCAGCCUCACUCUGGCGGGUGGCACAGUAGUCGGAGCGGGGCGAGCGGCGCUGUUUUCCUGUCAGGUCGGUCAGUGGGAGGGCGAAGUGACUGCGGUCACUUCGACCUUGCCGACUGAGGCACACGUGUUAGGAUAAGGCGUCAGGCGAUCCUCGCAUUGAAUGCGUCUGUGAUACGGUCGGUUGGUGAGGCGAUUUGGCCAAGGUUGCUUCACAACGAAGCCUGCCUGAGCUGGUCUUCGGGCGAGUCGAGGGUGCGCCCGUUGCUUGAGGAGGCCCUCGGGCGAGGCGUGAAUUCGCCUGGGACUACUGUUCCUGCCCGAGGCUGGGCUCGGGCGAGGCGAGAUCGCGUCCCUUGAGUAGACGAAGCCUUGACCUGAAUUGCGCCCAUCAGUCUCUGCAGCUUGUGCUGAUGGUGGUUACCAGCUGUGUUUAGGAGUGUUGGGGGUACCCCUAAUUACGGUACCCGACAAGAGGCUAAACUAGAACUAAACUAGAACUACUCCUAAUGCCUAAGGUAAAAACGAGAGAUAAAUUGAUUAUUGAUUCGAUUGCUGAUGUUUAAUCGGCCGUAUUCCUCUAUAUUUAUAGAGCAGGGGGCUAGACCCGUUACAAACUAAUCUCCGAGUUAAUUCCACGAAUCUAGCCAACAACUGUAGCAAGAAACUCAGAACCCUAACUGACUCUGCACGCGCGGCCGUCCGGCCUCGGGGCCGGACCGUCCGCAGGGACAUUUUGCCUUCCAACAUAUGCCCCCUGCCUUUUGGCUGAGCGAACCAAAAGCAACUAACUCGAUGUGAUCACAUCAAUUUUCUUAGGCAUUUUGCCACAUACUAGGAUGAUACUGCUUGAGAAAACACGCGUUUAACGACUUAGGAAAGUCUUUGCCUUGUAAUGUUUGCAGCAAGUAGGCAUUACCGGACAUCACCUGCGUGACUUUGUAAGGGCCUUCCCAGCUUGACGACCACUUCCCAAACUUCCGGUGUUUGCUCCUCAGAGGCAGGACAGUCUUCCAUACCAGGUCCCUUACCUGGAAUGAUUUAGCCUUGACCUUCUUGUUGUAAGCUUUGGCGACCAUGAUCUUGUUCUUUUCUAUUUCUCCUAAGGCCGUCACUCUCUUGUCGAUCACUUCAUCAAUAUUGUCCAUCACAGAAUUAUAAUAAUCACCGAUAGUCAGAUCAUUUUGCUUGGCGAACCUGACAACAUUUAAACUUAUCUCUACAGAUAACACUGCUUCCUGCCCAUAGACAAGCUCAAACGGAGAUACUUUAGUAGCACGAUGUUUAGAUAUUCUGUGAGCCCAUAAAGGUUCGGACAAAAUCCUAUGCCAAUGCUUAGGAUGAUCAGACAUCUUCUUUUUUAUCAGGCUAAUCAAUGUCCUAUUACUAGACUCGGCCUGUCCAUUGGCCUAAGCAUAAUACGAAGAUGAAUUGAGUAACUUAAUUCUAUAUAAUUCAGCAAACUCAUGUACCUCCUUUGACAUAAAAGAAGCCCCCUGGUCUGUAGUAAAAGUCCGGGGAAUGCCGAAUCUAUGAAUAAUAUGCUUAAUUAUGGACUCAAUUACCUCCCUGUGUGUCAUGUUCUUCAGAGCAACGACUUCAGUCCAUUUGGUAAAGUUGUCAGUGGCAACUAACACAAACCGAUGCCCUUUUGAUGAUGAAGGAUGAAUCUCUCCUAUAAAGUCCAAUCCCCAUCCUCUGAAAGGCUAAGGCUUAAUGAUAGGAUGUAAUUCGGCUGCAGGGACCAACUGUAAGUCGCCAAAUUUUUGACAUACUUAGCAUCCUUUGUAGUACUUGAAAUAAUCAGCUAUCAUGUUAGGCCAAUAGAAGUCAGACCUUCGUAAUAACCAUUUCAUCUUUAAAGCUGAUUGGUGGGUACCACAAAUCCCUUCAUGUACUUCAGCCAUGGCUAAUAUAGCAUCACCUAGGUCCAAGCAUGUAAGCAGGACAUCGUUGACUGUUCGGCGGUAGAGUUCAUUACUCAUUAAAACAUACUUGAAAGCUAUACACCGAAUGUUCUUAUCCAUCCUAACACUGGGAUUUCAUAGAUAAUUAAUUAUGUGUGUCCUCCAUUCGCUUGCAUCAGCUUCAUUACCAGCCGAAUCAAUCAGGAGAACUUUCCUGGUAACCCCGCGCGGUCCGGAGCCUUCACCCGGACUGUCCGCGACCUGGGGAAUUGGCCCUGUAUCGGUUCCCAGAUUUUCAGUGUUGUGAAAUUUUCCUCGCUUUAUCCGAUAACCUGAUGCAUCUUGUGCCAAAUUGUUAGCUCUAUGAUUCUCGACUCUAGAGAUGUGUCAAAUGCUAAAUUCAUCAAAAGAAAGAAUUAUGCCCCAACAUUUUUCAAGGUAUCUAUUUAGAGUACCAUCAAAACAUUGAUACUCUUCUAAUAACUGUUGGACAACCAGCUGACCUGAGAAUCACCAAAUGCCUUCACAUGUUUUACUCCCAUACAAUUUAAAAGUUCCAAGCCAAAUAAAAGGGCCUCAUAUUCGGCUUGAUUGUUAGUGUAAUAAGUUUUUAAUCGACUAGAGAAGUCGAAGGAGCCAUUACUUGGUGAAACAAGCACGAUGCCAAUUCCUUGUCCUUCAUUGCAAACCGAUCCAUCAAAACAUAAAGUCCAGGGAGUAACAAUGUGGUAUGAUAUGUCUAGUUUAUGAGUAUCAUCAAUCCGAUGUUCUACAAUAAAAUCUUCUACGACCUAGCCUUUCAUAGAUUUCAAUGGUUCAUAGGCCAAGUCAUAUUCUACGAGUGCAUAAGCCCAUUUACCAAUUCUACCACUAAUAAUCGGGUUUUGCAACAUGUAUUUGAUCACAUCGGUUUGACCAACAACGAUGCUAUGACUAGACAGUAAAUAACAUCUACACUUGGUGAUGCAUAAAACAGGCAUAAGCAUAAUUUCUCGAUAAAAGUGUACCUCGUUUCAGCAUCCACCAGCCUCCGACUUAGGUAGGUUACCACAUGCUCCUUUCCUUCGGUCUCUUGUGUCAGAAUAGUUCUAAUAACCUUAUCUUCAGCUGCAAUGUAUAAUCUGAACGGUACUCCUACCUGUGGUGCUUUUAACACGGGAGCCGAAGACAAAUACUUUCUGAUGAGAUCAAAUGCUUCCUGCUGUUCUGCCUCCAGGUGAAUUCGACAUCAUUUUAAGCCGAAGGAUACGAGUGAAGGCAUCAAUCUUCCCAGCUAGGUUAGAAAUAAAGCUCUGUAAAUAAUUUAUCUUGCCAAGGAACUUCUGCACUUCAAGCUUACAGGUCGGAGGUCCUACAUUAUAAAUGGAUUUAAUUCGGUCAGGGUCUAUCUCUAUACCGUGUUCGUGAAUGAUGAAUCCUAAUAACUUACAAGCCGACACUCCAAAAGCACAUUUACGUGGGUUCAUUUUCAGACCAUACUGAUGCAUUUUUUAUCAAAGGCUUUGCACAAAUUAGCUAUAUGAGAACUAAACUCAGCCGAUUUGACUACAAUAUCAUCAAUGUAGACUUCCACAGUGUUUCCCAAUAGCUCGUGAAAGAUCAAAUUCAUAGCCCUCUGAUAAGUAGCACCAGCAUUUUUCAAACCAAAUGUCAUGACAACCCACCCAAAUAAACCAAUGAAACCUGGACAUAUAAAGGCUGUUUUAGACGCAUCUUCUUUGGCCAUGAAAAUCUGAUUAUAUCUAACAUUACCGUUAAGAAAGCUAAUAAUUCUAUUUCCUGACGCAUUAUUGAUCAACGUGUCGGCUAUGGGCAUGCGAUAUUCAUCUUUAGGAGUUGCUCUAUUCAAAUUGCGGAAAUCAAUACAUACUCUGAGCUUACCUGAUUCUUUAUUUUCCAUCGGCACAAUAUUGGAGACCCACUCUGCGUAUCUACAAGGUCUAAUAAAAUUAGCUUCUAGUAGCCGGUGAAUUUCGUCAUUUAUUCAUGGUAGUAGGUCUGGACGAAAUGUUCUAGCUUUCUACUUGGAAGGUCUGAAACCAGACUUAAUAAGCAGCCGAUGCUCUACUAUCUCUCGGCUUAAUCCUGGCAUCUCAGUAUAAUUUCAAGAAAAGCAAUCGAAAUAUUCUUUCAAUAGACCGAUUGUUGGGGGCCUUCGUCUUUCGAAAGUCCUCAAAAACAUGAUUAACAUGUUUCCCAAGUAUAAUAUAUGUACAGGAACCUUCGGACUCAGAAUGAAGCUAUACACAAUAUGAAAAGCAUGGUCGGGACGAAGGUUGAACCAGUUCCGAAGCUAUGCGCAGGGAAGCUUCGGCUCAGCAACAGAAAACAGAACCAACUUAAAGAGGAAAAGGCUAUCUAGUCCUCGAUAAAUUGUCCUUAAGUCAAUAGUAAACAUAAAGGGCAUGAAUGUAAUUUUACACAGGCUGCGCCCUAUGCCUAUAAAUAGAUGAACAAUACCCCCGUACUGUUCACGCUGACUUGUAUUCACUCGCGUGUCACACUUGGACUUUUGCCUUCUGUCAAGCUGAAGGUACAAAUGUAAUUCAAUAUUGUUCAUGUUCGUUCAUGAUGAUAUAAUAAAGUUAUAUCAAUGAUGUCAUAUGAUUAUUCAUGUUAUUUCUCAUGUUUCAUACGCUUCUACUUCCAUUAAUAUACAUUAUUGUUGGGGACUUGUCCUUAAAUGCUAUGAAAUAAGAACAAGGCAACAUAGAAAUUGUUAAACGUUAAAGUCCUUCGUCCUCCGAAGCAUUAUUUCCCUUGGGAUAUAAUGAGUUUCGGAUGAAGGUUGUGAGGGACAUACCUUCAUUAGCACAACAAAUAAUGAAGAAGGAUUCUUAUAAAGUAUAAACACUUAAAUAUUAUUAUUAACUCAUUUCUAUUUUAUUAUUAUGGAAAAAUAGAAAUGAUAACAAAUUACAAAUGUACAUUCGGCUUGAAAGAAGGCAAAAGUACAAGCGUGACGCAAAAGCAAAUGCCAAGUCAGCGUGAACAGUACGGGAGUACUGUUCAUCUAUUUAUAGGCACGGGUCGCAGCCCAUGUAAAAUUACAUCCAAGCCCUUUGUAUUUGCUAAUAACUCUAUAGUAAUUCAUCGGGGUCUAGAUAGCCUUUUCCUCUUUAAGUCGGUUUCCUUUUUCCUGUCAUCAUGCCGAAGCUUCCUUCCGCUCAGCUUCGGCUCUGUUUCAUCCUUCGUUCCUCUUGUCCUAAGAGUCCAUGUCUGAAGAGUCCAUGUCCGAAGGUGCCUGCUCAUGUAUUAUACUCCAGAAACAUUGUUAAAUCAUGUUUUUGAGGACCUUCGGAAGCCAAAGGCCCCCAACAGUAGCCCCUCGCAAUAUUAAUUUGUUAGGAUGAUAAAUUUAGAUUGUGAUAUGGACGAAGGCCCUAAGCUGAAGGUCCGAAAAAACACCUUCCCUUUGCUAGAAUAGCAACAGUUAAUGACAAGCGAGACCCUCCCUCUUGCAAUGCCCUGGGCAUAUAAAUAUGAUACGACCGUGAGCUCAUUUGGCACGCUUUCUUGCCAUCUGUACUGCCUGCUUGAAAACAACUCUUUGCCUGCAAACGCUGGUGCUUUCUAGAUUUUUUAGCUUCGGCCCUAAGAACACGUUUUCAGGUUUUUCGAGGAGAUGUCUCAGGAAAAGAAAGCUGUUGCCAAAAUGAAACUGAGCCUUUCUGAGGAGAAGAAUCUGGGCUUCCUUGAAUCGAUAGCAAGAACAAAUACAUAGAAGAUUACUAGAGAAAUUUUAGAAGGCUUAUCUGAAGAUACCGGUGAGAGUGACAGUUAUGAUGUAGAAAGUGGGGGUGAAGACUCCGAAUAUCGACCGUGGCGACCAAGUCACGCAGUCUUCGGAAAAUCGAGUAUUAAACAAAGUAAUCUUGAUAACAUGAGGGGGAGAUAUUUUCGAGACAUGUCUACUGUGAGGGCAGAUGACGGAGAGAGGACUGUGCCUACUCUCGAAGAAAAUGAAGUCGUGAUCUUCCGAAGCUUUUUUUAAAGCUGGGCUUCGGUUCCCCUUAAACAGAUUUGUGGUUGAAGUUCUGAAGAUAUAUCAGGUUUACCUUCACCAACUUACUCCCGAAGCAAUCAUAAGAAUGGGAAUCUUUGUAUGGGCCGUGAAGAGCCAAGGUUUCGAGCCAAAUGCAAAAAGUUUCUGCAAUAUGCACGAGCUAUUAUAUGAGACGAAACCCUGGGGCAAAGAGCAAUAUCAUAACAAUUUUGGCUGUUAUAGCUUCGGUGCUCGAUCUGGGUCAAGCUAUCCCAUGCCAACCUUUCAAAAGAGAUGGCCCGGAGACUGGAUGAAGGAAUGAUUCUAUGUGAAAAACGAUUUGAAGGCACGAGAAGAUAUUAAAGAUAUCAUUAUGCGCCCUAUCUGGCAGCGUUUCGGCCUUCAAAAACCGAAGGUGGAUAUUGACGAGGCAGUCGAAGAAUGUCAGAGGGCCUUCGGCGUAGUUUGCUCUUUCAUCGGGACAAGGGAUUUGAUCCAGGAACACAUAGCCUUCAGAGUGUGGCCACUUGUAGAAAAGUGGGAAAUGCCAAAGGAGACUAUCACCAAAUCUGACGAAGGUGGGUUGGUUAGGCUGAAAUACACCUUCAAGUAUGAAGGUAAGUUUUUUGAACCAGACGAUGAUUGGUUGAAAUGUAUUGAAGCUACAAGUGAUGAACUGCUUGGGCCAUACUCGAAGGCAGAAGAUACUGCACUAUCUGCGGCCUUCGGAGGUCGGAAGAAGAAAAGUCUCAACUGAGUUUUUGAUGCUAUUGGGUUCGUGUACCCUGACUACCGCUACCCGUUACGAGGUCAGAAAAGGAAAGGUGUGGCACCUGUGAAGGAUGUUGCUUCGGCUGCUCCAAGCGAGUCCGCGCUGAAUAGGAAGAAGAUGAAGGUUCUUACUCACCGGUCGCGAUACAUUGAAACGGCUACAGUGCCUGAAUUUGGUGGUGAGACCUCUUCGGCUAACAAAGCCAAAGAAACUGCGCUAAUGCAGAAAACUGAAGGGCUGGCUACAACGCCGAAGGUACCAUUGGUCAAAUUGGGUGAGCCACAGGUCAAGAGAACAAAGUUAUCAGAAAUUACAAGUCCUUCGGCAAAAGUAUCCGUGCCGAAGGCACAAAAAGAUCUUGCAAUUACCCCUAAGAGGAAAAGAAUGGUCCACGUAUUGGAUGUACUGGAAGAAAUAAAAACUUCAAGCUCUACUUCAGGUAAAAUAGCCGAAGCUUCAAAAACGCAAGUUGACAUAAAACAAAUUGAAGCCGAAGCUGUAGAGAGUCAUGCUGAACCCGAAGCUGGGCCCUCAGAGCCCGCCAGAAAGAAAUCCCUGGAAAAAGAAAUGAAAAAGACACUUCAGAACAACUUUUGUCUGAGCAAACUGGUGCUCCCACACCCGAAGCUUAUUUCGAAGCUUCUGAUUAUAUUUUACGACAUGCUUCGGGGAAAAAGCUGACUGAAAAAGGAAAGCGAGAAGCUCAGUUCUACGCCCAAAAAUUGAAAUAUCCGAAGGGGGCGUUGAUUUUUAACGGCAGUGGAGAAGAAUACUUCUUGUAUUGUCUCCCAGACAGCAAGGAGAUCUCUGUCUGCCGGGAGAUGGCAAGAAGCUUCAGAUUCCCUACUCUAGAAGACAGACUAUCAGUGUUAUCAAAAGAUGAAUUGGCCGACAGCUUAGCGUACAACAGCUUAAAGGUGAGAAAAUAAGAUUUUUUGUACAACAGCUGAAAUUCGUUUGCUUAUUCCUAACACCACCACAUUCCUUUUGUAGGGCCUUAUUCUUAGCAAUGCCCUCAGGGCUCAAAAAAGUGCCGAAGACGAGGGAUGUACCAUGGCCUUGAAUAACCUUCGUUCCGAAGUAAUUGAGCUAAGAAACGAAGGACUUGAGAAAGAUAAAAUAUUAAACUCUUUACUUAAUAAAAUAAAAGAAGACGAAGCUACUUCUAAAGCCCAAGCUGAGGCCCAGAAGCGCGAAAUUGAUCUUCGGAAACAGCUGGCAGAAGAAAAAUUAAAAUGUGUAGUUGCCGAAGCUGACCGGGACGCCAGUGAAUACUGGAAAAAUCACUGAGAGAAAACAGUUGUGGAGCUUCGAUCUUCAAAAGAAAGAUGUUAUGAAAAAUCCAUGAAAUGCGUGGAGACAAUUAAGACUAGUUUCGCCAGCGUCGGCGCAUAUUCGAAUGAAGGCAACUUCAUACUGGGAGAUCCUGAAGGUCCAAUCGACUGGAUCAGCGGCGAGGCCAAAGCUUUUGAAGAAAUUUUGAGUGGCCGUGGGGACAUAUGCGCGUUCUCGGGUGCUAGGGGGAUUGCCGCUAUCUUGGAGAGAAGAGGCUGCGAACAUGUGAAAUCCUUGGCGCAAACCGAGGCCGCCUUAUCUGUUGAAGGUAUAAAAGACCCCUCGGUCGAAGCAAGCUUGGUUGGUGGAAAAUUUUUCACCGACAUUUGGGAAAAUGGCGGUCGCGAGAUGGCUCAAGAAAUUAUAAGGAAAAGUGAAAAAGUUAUUCACGAUGCUAGAGAAAUAGCAGAGGCCGCUGAGAAAAGUGUGGAUCUCGAGAGGCGAACAUGUAUUGAUUAAUAACUUUUGACUUUAUGUUGUAAUUUUAUGACUUCGAACUUAUUUACGCUUUGCAUCACUGCCGCACUAUCUCCUCCCCCAGAGCCCGUCGAGCCAUUGGCGAACCCCAAAGCAAAGGAGGAUGAUGAUAUUAUAAAAAUGUCCGAAGCUAUUAUGGAUAAAGUUGUUGAUCAACUAUUGAACGAAGCUGCAGAAGUAGUCUUGAAAGAAGAUUAGCUGUUAUUGUAAAGAUAUUUGGAAUGUAAUAUCUGCUGGACAAUGUGUGUAAUAUUUUAUAAUUUUGAGGUUAAUAUAUAAGCUGUUUAUAAUUCAAUUCUUUACGAUGCAUGAAACUUUACAUACAUACCGUUUUUGAGCCUUCGGCGAAAAAACACCUUCCCUUCUUUUCAUGCUUCGUAAGGAAUAUCCACAUUUGUGAAAAUAUUAUGCUUCGUAAGCAAUAGAUUUCCCCCGAUACUGAAGUUGGCGAAACUGCACUUCUUCAAACUUUAUUUUGUGCCUUGGCAUAAUUUCUUCGAAAACAAUUCCCGAAAGCUAUCAUUGUAUUCCCCUUCUUGUGCCAUUGAUGCAAUAUGAUGUAUGAUGUCAUGUUUGAGCGAAUGAUGUGAUGAUGCUAUGAUAUGCAAUGAUGGCAUUUGUUCCGAAGGUAAACACACAUCCUCACAGUAGAAUACAAUCUCUUUGCCGUUUAUUUUUCGGUAUAUCAGCGUUGACUUUUCGCUGUAAGCCUCCCUUAGGAGCUUCUUCGCCUUUUAUUUCGGCGGUAUCAGCGUUUAUUUUUCGCUGUAAGCCUCCCUUAGGAGCUUCUUCGCCUUUUAUUUCGGCGGUAUCAGCGUUUAUUUUUCGCUGUAAGCCUCCCUUAGGAGCUUCUUCGCCUUUUAUUUUGGCGGUAUCAGCGUUUAUUUUUUGCUGUAAGCUCUGCAUUCCCUUUGGAACGACUUUUGAGCAGAAAACUUACGCUGCGUUCCCUUAAGAACGACUUUUGUUGCUUCGACAAAAACUUGCAGUGUAUUCCUUCGUCAAGACCUUUAGAACUUCGUCGAUGUUUGAAGAAGGUAUAUUCAUUAUGAUAAUGACGAAGCAAUUACAAGAAAUUGAAAACAACAAAAGAACUAAGUUUUCAAUGAUUGCUCUUUAUUGAAAAAGGUAAAUGAUAACAAAUGUAAAAGCUGUUUCAGAGGUUGGAUAUAUCUUAGUAGAUGUGCUUCGAUUCUGGCAUAGUACUGUUGAUUGUGCGAGCUUCGGACUUCUCCCUAAAGUCUCGCUGCUGGUGAUUGUGCUGGCUCCCUUCUGGCUGCUGGCCUUGGGGAUAAGUGGGUUGCAUUGGUGGUGGAGGUGGGGGCUGUUGCCAAGAUGCCUGAGGUUGGCUUGCCGAAGCAACAGAAACUGCAGGAUGGUUACCCACAUACUAUUGAAUGUAUGGUGAGUGGUACGAAGCAGUAUGCAUAACCUGCUUUGGCUGGCUCUGUUGGGCUGCAGCUUCUGCUAUCUCUUUCUGUUUUUGGAUGGUGACAUGGCACAUCCUUGUAGUAUGGCCCUUGUCCUCACCGCAGAAUAGGCAAUAAAUCUUCCUCGGCUGAUCCCCAAACCUUCCUCCGAAGCCCCUGGCGCCUCUGCCCCUUGGAGCUGGCGGCCGAAGGUAGCUUUGUUGCUGCCCCGAAGCUUGCGAGGAACAUUGUGGCCUCCGUUGCUGGCUUCCUCUGUUGUCAUUCUGGGUGGAAUGGAUUGAUCUGACAUGCCUUGGAUGGAUCCUCCCUCCGAAGCCCCUGGUUAUCUCGGAGAAUCUGUAAGCCUCCUCCCUUCUUUGACGAAAGUCAUUAUCAGCGCGGAUAUAUUCAUCCAUCUUCUGAAGCAACUUCUCUAGGGUCUGAGGGGUCUUCCUAGCGAAGUAUUGGGCCACAGGUCCUGGCCGAAGUCCCUUGAUCAUGGCCUCAAUGACAAUUUCAUUGGGCACUGUUGGUGCUUGUGCCCUCAAACGCAAGAACCUUCGGACAUACGCCUGAAGGUACUCUUCGUGAUCUUGUGUGCACUGGAACAAAGCUUGAGCAGUAACCGGCUUCGUCUGAAACCCUUGGAAACUGGUAAUCAACAUGUCCUUCAGCUUCUGCCAUGAUGUGAUUGUUCCUGGCCGAAGAGAGGAGUACCAGGUUUGUGCAACAUUCUUGACUGCCAUGACGAAAGAUUUCGCCAUGACUGCAGUAUUGCCUCCAUAUGAAGAUAUGGUGGCUUUGUAGCUCAUCAGAAACUGCUUCGGAUCUAAGUGUCCGUCAUACAUGGGGAGCUGGGGUGGCUUGUAUGAUGGGGGCCAAGGUGUAGCCUGCAGUUCUGCUGACAGAGGAGAAGCAUCAUCAAAAGCAAAAUUUCCAUGAUGGAAAUCUUCAUACCAUUCAUCCUCGUUGUAGAAGCCCUCUCGAUGAAGCUCCCUAUGUUGGGGCCUUCGCUCUUGCUCAUCUUGAGCAAGAUGGCGUACUUCUUCUGUAGCUUCGUCGAUCUGCCUCUGAAGGUCGGCCAGUCGAGCCAUCUUCUCCUUCUUCUUUUGUACUUGUUGAUGAAGCAUCUCCAUGUUCCUGAUUUCUUGGUCCAACUCGUCCUCCUGGGGCGUUGGACUAGUGGCCUUUCUCUUCUGGCUUCGGGCCUCUCGAAGAGAAAGGGUCUCCUGGUUUGGAUCCAGCGGCUGCAGAGCGGCAGCCCCUGUCGCUGAAGAUUUCUUUGGUGGCAUGACGAAGGUCAAUGCCUGCCGAAGGUGGUCGAGAAGGGUUCAUCGGAGGUGGGCGCCAAUGUUGGGGACUUGUCCUUAAAUGCUAUGAAUUAAGAACAAGGCAACACAGAAAUUGUUAAACGUUAAAGUCCUUCGUCCUCCGAAGCAUUAUUUCCCUUGGGAUAUAAUGAGUUUCGGACGAAGGUUGUGAGGGACAUACCUUCAUUAUCACACCAAAUAAUGAAGAAGGAUUCUUAUAAAGUAUAAACACUUAAAUAUUAUUAUUAACUCAUUUCUAUUUUAUUAUUAUGGAAAAAUAGAAAUGAUAACAAAUUACAAAUGUACCUUCGGCUUGAAAGAAGGCAAAAGUACAAGCGUGACGCAAAAGCAAAUGCCAAGUCAGCGUGAACAGUACGGAAGUACUGUUCAUCCAUUUAUAGGCAUGGGUCAGAGCCCAUGUAAAAUUACAUCCAAGCCCUUUGUAGUUGCUAAUAACUCUAUAGUAAUUCAUCAGGGUCUAGAUAGCCUUUUCCUCUUUAAGUCGGUUUCCUUUUUCCUGUCAUCAUGCCGAAGCUUCCUUCCGCUCAGCUUCGGCUCUGUUUCAUCCUUCGUUCCUCUUGUCCUAAGAGUCCAUGUCCGAAGAGUCCAUGUCCGAAGGUGCCUGCUCAUGUAUUAUACUCUAGAAACAUUGUUAAAUCACAUUUUUAAGGACCUUCGGAAGCCGAAGGCCCCCAACAACUAUGAUGAUGAAGGUACGUCCUUCAUAACCUUCGUUUGAAGAUCAUUAUAUCCUAAGGGAGAUAAUGCUUCGAAGGACGAAUGACUUUAACCACUAAUGUUUUGUGUUGCCUUGUUCUUAACUCAUAGCAUUUGAGAAUAAGUCCCCAACAUUGGCGUCCACCUCCGGUGAACUCAUUCGACCACCUUCGGCAAGCUGUGACCUUCGUCAUGCUGCCGAAGAAAGCUUCAGGGCAACGGGCUGCACCGCAGCCACUAGAUGUCAACUAGGACACACUGCGCGAAGCUCGAACUCAAAAUAGGAAGGCUACAAGUCCAACACCUCAAGAGGAGGAGCUGGACCAGGAAAUAAGGGACCUCAAAGCUAUCCAUCAAUAAGUCAAAAGGAAGAGAGAGAAGGUGCUUCGUCUUUCCGAUCUACAGAAGAAGAUCGACGAGGCUGCUGAAGAAAUACGUCAUCUCACUCAAGAUGACCAGGAUUGAAGACCUCCACAAAGAGAGCUUCAUCAGGACAAUUCCUACAAUGAUGAUGAUUGGUAUGACGAUUUCCAUCAUGGAAAUUUUGCUUUUGAUGAUGCUUCUCCUCUGUCAGCAGAACUGCAGGCUACCCCAUGGACCCCAUCAUACAAGCCACCUCAGCUCUCCAUGUAUGAUGGACACUCAGAUCCGAAGCAGUUUCUGAUGAGCUACGAAGCAACCAUAUCUUCAUAUGGGGGCAAUACCGCAGUCAUAGCGAAGUCCUUCGUCAUGGCAGUCCAAAGUGUGGCCCAGACAUGGUACUCUUCUCUCUGGCCAGGGACAAUCACGUCAUGGCAGAAGCUUAAGGACAUGCUGGUCACCAGUUUUCAAGGGUUUCAGACGAAGCCAGUCACUGCUCAGACCUUGUUCUAGUGCACACAAGACCAUGAGGAGUACCUUCAGGCGUAUGUCCGAAGGUUCUUGCGUCUGAGAGCACAAGCGCCCACAGUGCCCAAUGAAAUCGUCAUUGAGGCCAUGAUCAAAGGUCUUCGGCCAGGGCCUACGGCUCAAUACUUUGCCAGAAAACCCCCUCAGACUCUGGAGAAGCUGCUUCAGAAAAUGUACGAGUACAUCCGGGUCGACAAUUAUUUUCGCCAAAGAAGGGAGGAAGCUUAUAGGUUUUCUGAGAUGACUAGGGGCUUCGGAGGACGAAUCCACCCUAGGCAUGUCAGAUCAAUCUACAACUCCAGUCAGUGUGAUGACAGAAGCGGCCAGCUUCAGAGGCCACAACACAGCUCACAGUCUUCAGGGCAGCAACAGAGCUCCUUCAGGCCACCAGCUCCAAGAGGCAGAGGCGGCAGGGGCUUUGGAGGAAAAUAUAGGGAUUAGCCCAGAAAAAUCUAUUACUUAUUCUGCGGUGAAGACAAGGGUCACACUACAAUAACGUGUCAGAUCACCAUUCAGAAGCAAAAAGAGAUUGCCGAUGCAGAAGCCCGACAGAAUCAGCCGAAGCAGGUCUUACAUACUGCUUCGUGCCACUCUCCCUACAUACCAAAAUAUGUGGGCAAUCAACCUACAGCUUCUGUUGCUUCGGCAAGCCAUUCACAAGCUUCCUAACCACAACUCCCACCGCCACCACCAUUGCAACCUACUUAUACCCGAAGCCAGCAGCCAGAAGGGCGCCAGCACCCCCAAUAGCAACGUGACUUCAGGGAGGAGUCCGAAGCUCGUACAGUCAACAACACUGUACCAGAAUCAAAGCACAUAUACUGAGCAAUAUCCUACUUCUGAAAUACUUUUACUUUUUACGCCAUUUUGCUUUCUGUAUGAGGAACAAGUAAUGAAAACUUAGUUUUAAUUUCUUGCAAUGAUUCUGCCUGCACCAGAAUUGCCGGGGACCAUAAUUAGGGGUACCCUCAAGACUCCUAAUUCUCAGUUGGUAACCCCAUCAGCAUAAAGCUGCUAAGGCCUGAUGGGUGCGAUUAAGUCAGGGAUCAGUCCAUUCGAGCGACUCGAUCACGCCUCGCCCGAGCCUAGCCUCGGACAAGGGCAGCCGACCCUAGAGGAUUUCCGUCUCGCCCGAGGCCCCUCUCCGACGGCGAACAUAUUUCCGGCUCGCCCGAGGCCCUGCCUUCGCUAAGAAGCAACCCUGACUAAAUCGCCGCACCGACCGACCAAAUCGCAGGAGCAUUUAACACAAAGGUGGCCUGGCACCUUUAUCCUGACGCGCGCCCCCCGGCAGAGCCGAAGUGACCGCCGUCACUUCGCCGCUCCACUGAUCGGCCUGACAGAAGGACAGCGCCACCUGCGCCACUCCGACUGCAGUGCCGCUUGACAGAGUGAGACUGACAGGCAGUCAGGCCCUGCCAAAGGCACCAUAGGAAGCUCCGCUUCGCCCGACCCAGGGCUCGGACUCGGGCUAAAUCCCGGAAGACGGCGAACUCCGCUCCGCUCGACCCAGGGCUCGGACUCGGGCUAAGUCCCGGAAGACGGCGAACUCCGCUUCGCCCGACCCAGGGCUCGGACUCGGGCUAAGUCCCGGAAGACGGCGAACUUCGCUCCGCCCGACCCAGGGCUCGGACUCGGGCUCAGCCCCAGAAGACGACGAACUCCGCUUCGCCCGACCCCAGGGCUCGGACUCCGCCCUGGCCUCUGCCGACGACCUCCGCCUCGCCCGACCCAGGGGCUCGGACUCGGCCUCGGCCACGGAAGACAGACUCGACCUCGGCUUCGGAGGAGCCUCCACAUCGCCCAACCUAGGGCGCAGGCCAGCCACGUCAACAGGAGGCGCCAUCAUCACCCUACCCCGAGCUGACUCGGGCCGUAGGGAACAAGACCGGCGUCCCAUCUGGCUAGCUCCGCCAGAUCGGCAAUGAUGGCGCCCCGCAUACUCUAUGACGACGGCGGCUCUCAGCCUCCUUACAGAAGCAAGAGGACGUCAGCAAGGACCCAACCGCUCCGACAGCUGUCCCUCCGCUAGGCUCCAUCGCUCCUCCGACGGCCACGACAUCACACCAGCUGGGUGCCAAAAUCUCUCCGGCUGCCACAACGGCAUGUACUUAGGGCGCUAGCUCUCCUCCGCUAGACACGUAGCACUCUGCUACACCCCCCAUUGUACACCUGGAUCCUCUCCUUACGCCUAUAAAAGGAAGGACCAGGGCCCUCUUAGAGAAGGUUGGCCGCGCGGGGACGAGGGCGAGACAGGCGCUCGCUUGGAGCCGCUCGCUCCCUCUCCCGCGUGGACGCUUGUAACCCCCUACUGCAAGCGCACCCGACCUGGGCGCGGGACGAACACGAAGGCCGCGGGAUUCCCACCUCUCUCACGCCGGUCUCCGGCCGCCUCGCUCUCCCCCUUCGCGCUCGCCCUCGCGCUCGACCCAUCUGGGCUGGGGCACGCGGCGACAUUCACUCGUCGGCCCAGGGACCCCCCGGUCUCGAAACGCCGACAGUUGGCGCGCCAGGUAGGGGCCUGCUGCGUGUUGACGAACAGCUUCCCGUCAAGCUCCAGAUGGGCAGUCUCCAGCAACCUCUCCAACCCGGGACGGUGCUCCGUUUCGGGAGUCUUGAGUUCAUGUCCCUCGGCGGCGGCUACGACAUGAUACUCCUUCCACCGCCGUGCGACAACGACAAUGGCGACCGACAGCCCGCCCGCCGGCGGCGGAAUCGACGACGUCUUCCCCGCGUGGCGGAAGAACAACCUUCGAGCUCGUCCCGCCUUCUUCCCCGCCGACGGAGGGGAAGGCAGGGCAACCAAGGCCAAGCAGGAGGCAGCGCCUCGUCGGCUGUCGAGCGAGGCGACAGCGCCGGCACCCCAACGGGGGGUGCACCGGGUAUCGACUUCGCGCUUGAGACGAAGACGAGCGCCGUCUCCCCGCGACACGCCAAUCCCGAGCAAGCGGACGACGCUAGCGUGCUCGCGAAAAGCUUGCUGGACGUCGCCCUCGUACCUGAGACGACGGUGCAGUCAGUCCCCGACGUGACUUUAUCGCCGCUCGUCGACCAAGAGGUACCGACCGAUUCCCAUCCCACGUCAUUUGGAUUCAGCCUCAACCCGCCUAGCGACCUCGCUUUGGCGGGCGCUCUCGUAGAGGCGAGUCCAAACCCUCUGGGGUUUCGCAUGCGGUCGCCUUGGGACCGGUUGACGGACGUCUCGACCUACGGGCCCUCUGGGUCCGAGGAAGACGACGAGCCCAGCAUCUGUUGGGAUUUCUCUGGACUUAGCAACCCCAGUGCCAUGCGGGACUUCAUGACCGCAUGCGACUACUGCCUCUCCGACUGUUCCGACGGUAGUCGCAGCCUCGGCGACGAGGACUGCGGCCCAAGCCGCGAAUGCUUCCACGUCGAUCUAGGGGGUCCCUCCGAAGGCAAUCAUCUCGGCAUGCCGGAGGACGGUGAUCUCCCUAGGCCGGUGCCCCGCGUUGACAUCCCACGGGAGCUAGCUGUGGUCCCCGUUCAGGCGAGGGGCCAUGACCCACAGCUCGAGCAAAUCCGCGGGGUGCAGGCCAGGCUCGACGAGGGAGCAGGAGCGCUUGAGCCGAUCCGCCGGGAUGUCGGGCAGGCAUGGGCGGGCCAACCCCUGGCCGGAGAAAUACGUCAUCUGCCCUAGGGCUUCCAGCACCGCGUCGCCGACGACGUCAGGGUCAGGCCGCCACCCGCAUCUAGUGGGGUCGGCCAGAACCUGGCCGCAGCAGCGAUGCUUCUCCGCGCGAUGCCGGAGCCAUCAACCACUGAGGGUCGGCGAAUCCAGGGGAGCUCAAGAAUCUCCUGGAAGGCGCUGCGGCCCGAUGGGCCGAGAGCUCUGCCUCCCGAAGGCAGGGGUACCCCUCGGAACCUCAUGCCGCGACUUCCCGAUUCAUGCGGGAAGCCUCGGUCUACACUGGGCGCACGCGCAACACCGCGCCUGCGGCUCCAGGCCGCCUCAGCAACGAGCGCCAUCACCGCGACCGUCGGGCCCACCUCGACGAGAGGGUGCGCCGAGGCCACCACCCCAGGCGUGGGGGACGCUACGACAGCGGGGAGGAUCGGAGUCCCUCGCCCGAGCCACCCGGUCCGCAGGCCUUCAGCCGGGCCAUCCGACGGGCACCGUUCCCGACCCGGUUCCGACCCCCGACUACUAUCACGAAGUACUCGGGGGAGACGAGACCGGAACUGUGGCUCGCGGACUACCGUCUGGCCUGCCAACUGGGUGGAACGGACGACGACAACCUCGUCAUCCGCAACCUCCCCCUGUUCCUCUCCGACACCGCUCGCGCCUGGUUGGAGCACCUGCCGGCAAUUUCCAGGGCAGAUCCAACUGGGACGACCUAGUCCAAGCUUUCGCCGGCAAUUUCCAGGGCACGUACGUGCGCCCCAGGAAUUCCUAGGACCUCCGAAGCUGCCGGCAGCAGCCGGGAGAGUCUCUCCGGAACUACAUCCGGCGAUUCUCGAAGCAGCGCACCGAGCUGCCCAGCAUCACCGACUCGGAUGUCAUCGGCACGUUCCUCGCCGGCACCACCUGCCGCGACCUGGUGAGCAAGUUGGGUCGUAAGACUCCCACCAGAGCGAGCGAGCUGAUGGACAUCGCCACCAAGUUCGCCUCUGGCCAGGAGGCGGUCGAGGCUAUCUUCCGAAAGGAGAAGCAGCCCCAGGGCCGCCCAUCGGAAGAUGCUCCCGAGGCGUCGACUCAGCGCAGCGCCAAGAAGAAAGGCAAGAAGAAGUCGCAAGCGAAACGCGACACCGCCGACGCGGACCUUGUCGCCGCCGCCGAGUACAAGAACCCUCGGAAGCCCCCCGGAGGUGCCAACCUUUUCGACAAGAUGCUCAAGGAGCCGUGCCCCUAUCACUAGGGGCCCGUCAAGCACACCCUUGAGGAGUGCGUUAUGCUUCGGCGCCACUUCCACAGGGCCGGGCCACCCGCGGAGGGUGGCAGGGCCCGCGACGAUGACAAGAAGGAAGAUCACCAAGCAGGAGAGUUCCCCGAGGUCCGCGACUGCUUCAUGAUCUACGGUGGGCAAGCGGCGAAUGCCUCGGCUCGGCACCGCAAGCAAGAGCGCCGGGAGGUCUGCUCGGUGAAGGUGGCGGCGCCAGUCUACCUAGACUGGUCCGACAAGCCCAUCACCUUCGACCAAGCCGACCACCCCGACCACGUGCCGAGCCCGGGGAAAUACCCGCUCGUCGUCGGCCCCGUCAUCGGCGACGUCAAGCUCACCAAGGUCCUUAUGGACGGAGGCAGCAGCCUCAACAUCAUCUACGCCGAGACCCUCAGGCUCCUGCUGUUGACCUGUCCUCCGUUCGAGCAGGCGCUGCGCCCUUCCAUGGGAUCAUUCCCGGGAAGCGCGUCCAGCCCCUCGGACAACUCGACCUUCCCGUCUGCUUCGGAACGCCCUCCAACUUCCGAAGGGAGACUCUGACGUUCGAGGUGGUCGGGUUCCGAGGAAACUACCACGCGGUGCUGGGAAGGCCAUGCUACGCGAAGUUCAUGGCCGUCCCCAACUACACCUACCUGAAGCUCAAGAUGCCGGGCCCCAACGGGGUCAUCACCGUCGGCCCCACGUACAAACACGCGUUCGAAUGCGACGUGGAGUGCGUGGAGUACGCCGAGGCCCUCGCCGAGUCCGAGGCCCUAAUCGCCGACUUGGAAAACCUCUCUAAGGAGGUGCCAGACGUGAAGCGUCAUGCCGGCAACUUCGAGCUAGUGGAGACGGUUAAGGCCGUCCCCCUCGACCCCAGCGGCGACACCUCCAAGCAGAUCCGGAUAGGCUCCGGGCUCGAUCCCAAAUAGGAAGCAGUGCUCGUCGACUUUCUCCGCGCGAACGUGACGUCUUCGCGUGGAGUCCUCGGACAUGCCCGGCAUACGGAGGGAUGUCGCCGAGCACUCACUGGACAUUCGAGCCGGAGCUCGACCCAUCAAGCAGCCUCUGCGCCGAUUCGACGAAGAGAAGCGCAGAGCCAUAGGCGAGGAGAUCCACAAGCUAAUAGCGGCAGGGUUCAUCAAAGAGGUAUUCGAUCCCGAAUGGCUUGCCAACCCUGUGCUUGUGAGAAAGAAAGGGGGGAAAUGGCGGAUGUGUGUAGACUACACUGGUCUCAACAAAGCAUGUCCGAAGGUUCCCUACCCUCUGCCUCGCAUCGAUCAAAUCGUGGAUUCCACUGCUGGGUGCGAAACCCUGUCUUUCCUCGAUGCCUACUCAGGGUAUCAUCAAAUCAGGAUGAAAGAGUCCGACCAGCUCGCGACUUCUUUCAUCACGCCCUUCGGCAUGUACUGCUAUGUCACCAUGCCGUUCGGCUUGAGGAAUGCGGGCGCGACGUACCAGCGGUGCAUGAACCAUGUGUUCGGCGAACACAUUGGCCGCACGGUCAAGGCCUACGUCGAUGACAUCGUAGUCAAGACGAGGAAAGCUUCCGACCUCCUUUCCGACCUUGAAGUGACAUUCCGAUGCCUCAAGGCGAAAGGCGUCAAGCUCAAUCCCGAGAAGUGUGUCUUCGGGGUGCCCCGAGGCAUGCUCUUGGGGUUCAUCGUCUCCGAGCGGGGCAUCGAAGCCAACCCGGAGAAGAUCGCAGCCAUCACCAGCAUGGGGCCCAACAAGGACUUGAAAGGCGUACAGAGGGUCAUGGGAUGUCUCGCGACUCUGAGCCGUUUCAUCUCACGCCUCGGCGAAAGAGGUCUACCUCUGUACCGCCUCUUAAGGAAGGCCGAGUGCUUCACUUGGACCCCCGAGGCCGAGGAAGCUCUCGGGAACUUGAAGGCGCUCCUCACAAAGGCGCCUAUCUUGGUGCCUCCAGCUGCCGGAGAAGCCCUCUUGGUCUACGUCGCCGCGACCACUCAAGUGGUUAGCGCCGCGAUUGUGGUCGAGAGGCAGGAAGAGGGGCAUGCGCUGCCCGUUUAGAGGCCAGUUUACUUCGUCAGCGAGGUACUGUCCGAAACCAAGGUUCGCUACCCACAAGUUCAGAAGCUGCUGUAUGCAGUGAUCCUGACACGGCGGAAGUUGCGACACUACUUCGAGUCUCAUCCGGUAACUGUGGUGUCAUCCUUCCCCCUGGGGGAGAUCAUCCGGUGCCGAGAGGCCUCGGGUAGGAUUGCAAAGUGGGCGGUGAAAAUCAUGGGUGAGAUAAUCUCGUUCGCCCCUCGGAAUGCCAUCAAGUCCCAGGUUUUGGCAGACUUCAUAGCCGAAUGGGUCGACACCUAGCUACCGACGGCUCCGAUCCAACCGGAGCUCUGGACCAUGUUUUUCGACAGGUCACUGAUGAAGACGGGAGCCGGCGCGGGCCUACUCUUCAUCUCGCCCCUCGGGAAACACCUACGCUAUGUGCUACGCCUCCAUUUCCCGACGUCCAACAAUGUGGCUGAGUAUGAGGCUCUGGUCAACGGGUUGCGGAUCGCCAUCGAGCUAGGGGUCCGGCGCCUCGACGCCCGCGGUGACUCGCAGCUCGUUAUCGACCAAGUCAUGAAGAACUCCCACUGCCGCGACCCGAAGAUGGAGGCCUACUGCGAUGAGGUUCGGCGCUUGGAAGACAAGUUCUACGGGCUCGAGCUGAACCAUAUCGCUCGGCGCUACAACGAGACGGCAGACGAGCUGACUAAAAUAGCCUCGGGGCGAACAACUGUUCCCCCGGACGUUUUCUCCCGGGAUCUGCACCAACCCUCCAUCAAGAUCGACGACACGCCCGAGCCUGAGGCGCCCUCGGCCCAGUCCGAGGUACCCUCGGCCCAGCCCGAGGUACCCUCGGCACAGCCCGAGGCACCCUCGGCACAGCCCGAGGCACUCUCAGCUUGGCCCGAGGCGCCCUCGGUUCAGCCCGAGGUACCCUCGGCCCCCGAGGGUGAGGCACUGCGCGUCGAGGAGGAGCGGAGUGGGGCCACGCCUGAUCGAAACCGGCAGACCCCGUACCUGCAAUAUCUCCACCAAGUAGAGCUACCCCUCGACCGAGCCGAGGCUCGGCGGGUGGCGCGGCGCACCAAGUCGUUCAUCUUGCUGGGCGAUGAGAAGGAGCUCUACCACCGCAGCCCCUCAGGCAUCCUCCAGCGAUGCAUCUCCGUCACCGAAGGUCAGGAACUCCUGCGAGAGAUACACUUGGGGGCUUGCGGCCAUCACGCAGCGCCUCGAGCCCUUGUCGGGAAUGCUUUCCGACAAGGCUUCUACUGGCCGACAGCGGUGGCUGACGCCAAUUGUCCGCACCUGCGAAGGGUGUCAAUUCUAUGCGAAGCAGACCCACCUGCCCGCUCAGGCUCUGCAGACGAUACCCAUCACUUGGCCCUUUGCUGUGUGGGGUCUGGACCUCGUCGGCCCCUUGCAGAAGGCACCCGGGGGCUACACGCACCUGCUGGUCGCCAUCGACAAAUUCUCCAAGCGGAUCGAGGUCCGACCUCUGAACAGCAUCAGGUCCGAGCAGGCGGUGGCGUUCUUCACCAACAUCAUCCAUCGCUUCGGGGUCCCAAACUCCAUCAUCACCGACAACGGCACCCAGUUCACCGGCAGAAAGUUCUUGAACUUCUGCGAGGAUCACCACAUCCGGGUGGACUGGGCCGCCGUGGCUCAUCCCAUGUCAAAUGGGCAAGUAGAGCGUGCCAACGGCAUAAUUCUACUAGGGCUCAAGGCUCGGAUCUACAACGACCUCAACAAGUUCGGCAAGCGAUGGAUGAAGGAACUCCCCUCGGUGGUCUGGAGCCUGAGGACAACGCCGAGCCGAGCCACGGGUUUCACGCCGUUCUUCCUAGUCUACGGGGCCGAGGCCAUCUUGCCCACAGACCUGGAAUACGGCUCCCCGAGGACGAGGGCCUACAGCGAUCAAAGCAACCAAGCUAGCCGAGAAGAAUCUAAAGCCUAUGCUUUGAUACCAACUGUAACACCCCAAAGUCCACAAACACCCCGGAAUGCUACUGAACUACACAUCUGACAUCCAUAUAUAAAAUUUCGGCAGCAUCUCCUUUGAAAGAUUGCAUAAACGAGGGGCAACAGUGUAUAAACAUAUAUCAUGACAAAAAACAUACUAAGCAUUAUUAAUAUGCUAGCAAAUGAAAGUUAAACAUAACAACAUGAACUGAAUUAACCAGUGCACACGACUAGAAAAAACAAACAUCAUUUGACAUCGAGUUUCUAAUUAAAUCAUGGCUGCAACUGGGCAGCGUUAUUAUAAUAGUGAAGGUGGACGUGCUGCUACUUCCCUCAUUCCCAACAUGAAUCAAAUACCUGCAUUGAGUAAUGCAAGAGUGAGAUGAUACAUCUCAGCAAGCAAAUUAUUUUGACGAGAUAUUUAAACCACAAAUUGAAUUAAACAACAUUUUAAAGGAAUCCCAAUUGAGAUCAGAAAUACUUGUAGAUAUAGAACUCAAUAGUCCCAAUAUAACCAAUACCAUCUCAUUUCCUCGAACAACCACAAUAGGUUGUAUAACCCUUCCCUGCGUCAACAAUACCUGCAGAUAUCACUUCAAUGUAUGCAUAGGAAUGCAAUGUGUAGGUCAUCUGCCCUCAUACCUCUGAGAGUAUAAAACCACAUCAUCUGCUAAUAUCACUUCAAUGAAUGCAUAUAAAUGCAAUGCAUAUGUCCUCUGCCUUCAUACCUCUAAGGGUAUGAAGCCGCAUCGUACCCCUCCUCGGGCAACGUACGAUGCUAAGUUGUAUCGGUACGGUCGGACCAUAGGUUACGACCAAACUUCAGAUGCAAAUGAAUAAUGUAAUGCAUAUGGCAUGCUGCAUUUAUCAAUAUACUUCACUUCCUUCAGAUACAAAACAAACCUCAAAUAAUACUUCAUCUGCCUUCAGAUACAAUACAAACCUCAAAUAAUACUUUAUCUGCCUUCAGGGUGUAAAUUAAUCUCAUGGGUCAUACUCGAACCAUAAUCAUCAUCAAUAUAUGAUUGAGCAUCAGUAUAAUACAAGCAAGUAAAGCAUCACCAUAGUGUUCAAUUAUGAAAGAAUUCCAUAAUUCUGAAUAUUAGAGCGUAGGCGAUAAAAAAACAACAAGUCAAAACGGUAGCAACCACUGCUACAUUCACUUGCCUUCAUCGAAGAAGAAAGAUGUACUAGGCAUGAUCCGGAGUGUAGCCACCUGCUAGCGGGCAUAAAAAUUAGUACAAAUAUUUCACAAACAUUUGCUAACAAUCAACAAAUCGCUCGUACACUUGAAACCAAAUCCCGGUGGAAAGACUCCCACCCUGAACCACAUGCCAAACAGCAGCAGCGCUGUUUGUUAAUUUUGUAUCUUUAAAAUUAUAACAGUGGUGAUAUUAAACAAAUACUCUAUGAGUGUCUACACAAAAUAUUCUAUAACUUCGGUAUUCAAUGGAUAAUUAAAUUCUGCCAUCUAUAAGUUCUAAAACAUCUGAUAAGAUAAAUGUCUGAAUCUGUUUCAGACAGCAGCAUAGUUAACUUCAAAAUUCAAUAUCUACCAAACUACUCAACCAAAAAUUAUGAAAUUCUGCUGGCAGUAAGAACUUUUAUCCCUCUACAAAUGUCUCCAUAGUUGGAACAGCCAAUUUGGCUAUUUACUAUAUGAAACCUACCAGUGAACAGACCCGCUCAUUUUUGUCAGGCAAACAGGAACAGCCACAGUAAAACAAACAUAACUGGACUUUCAUAAAUCAUAUGAAUGCGCUCUUUAACAAUCUGGAAAGCUUAUGAAAUUGUCUACAACUUCUUUUACAAUCCUAAAGUUUAAUUCUAUUGAUAAAAUUGCCUAAAGCUUAAGAGAACAGAUUCUGUACAGAAUUAUGAGACUGAAAAACUGCUAUAAUCAAACUACAAUAACUUUCUGAUCUGAUAUCCGAUUGAGGUGUUCUUCGCGGCCACGGAAAGAUCUACAAAUUAUCUACGACUCAUAGAUAGACUUUUUAUUUUUUUGAGGCCACUAAGACCACGGAAAACUGGCAUGAACAGAAACUAUUGAAUCUGCCAUUCUGCAGAAACUAAUUUCGAGAUUAAAAUCUAAUCUCCCAUCCAAUCUAACCAAAAAAACUAAUUGCAGGGCCUAAAACUCAUCCAAAACAAGGGAAAGCAUUCAUCAAGUGGAUAAAAGAGAGAGGAAAGGAAAUCCAACCAAUUCUUGGAGAGGAACGACGAUGAUGGGCGACGGUAUGCCCUCAUCUCCCCUCUCUUCUCUUCUUUUUUCUUCCUCUCUUCUCUUGGGGCAAGGCACAAAAGGGUGACGGCUGCUAGGGGUGGGAGGACGUGGCUUCUAGGGUUAGGGAGGUAUAAAUAGAAGAAAACUUCCACAAUCCUAAUAUCCAAUGGCUCAGAUCAACCGGCACUCAAAAAGACUCAUCCGGACUCCAAACAAGGCAAACUAGUGAUUGAUCGGAAUCAUCUUGAUGAGAUCAAUACAUCUACGACCUCCGAUCAUCCAUAGGACAUACCAUAUUUGGAUUAUAAAAAUGGUUUAUUUUUUUAGGGUGUUACAGAAACACGUGACACAACCCUUAAACUGAAUUAAGAAUAAAACGUCUCGUCGUGCGACGGAGUGCGUCACGAGACACUUGAAUUAAUUAUGAAAAUAACGUCAAGCGUCGUGCGACGAAGCGCACGACGGCAUAAAUCAUCCAAACUGAAUUUAAAACGAAACGUCGCGCGACUGGACGCGCGACGCCACACAUUAAUUAAUCUGAAAUUAAAAUGGAUCAUCGCGCGACGAAGCGCACGACGCAGCACAUGAAUAAAGGCGAAUUUAAAAUGAAUCGUCGCGCGGCGAAGCGCACGACGCAGUACAUCGACUAAACCAAAUUUAAAAUUGAAUAAACCAAAAGUUAAACAUCGUGCAACUACGGUCACAUGUGCAGGAAUGCGCUGCACGCGCCGGGGGCACGCGAGCCACGCGAGGGAGGGGGGGGGAGAGCAUGGCCGCCGGGGACACGGGUCCGGGCGAGGGUGCGGGGCUGCAGGACGGGGCCGCCGGGUAGUACUGGGCAUAAAACCCGAACCCGAAGCCCAUUACCCAAAAUACCCGGACCCGUACCCGUUUAGCCCGAGACCAGUUACCCGAACAACUCCAACAUGUAACAAAACUGAAUACUUGAAGUAAGUUUGGGCCUAAUCGGAUAUUCAUCCGCGGUACCCGAAGUACCCAUUCUACCUGAAAUAAGGUAGCACGCUAGCCCAAGCCCAACAGCAGCACAACACAGCCCACGGGCCAUGCCAAGUUGAUAUCCCUGAUGGCCUGAUGUCGCAACUCGCAACCCUAGCUCCCAGCCUCCCACGCGCUUCAAGUCUUCCUAGUUCCUAGGCGACCGGCGGCGUCCUCCUAGAGUCCCAGACGGCCAGAGCCAGUCCAUGCCUCCCAGCUCCCAGGCCAAUCCUAUUAGCCCCAGGCACCGCGCAGCUACUUUAGGAAGCGGAGCUCAAGGUCCCAGGCGGCAGGAAGCGGAGCUACUUUAGUUACCGCGGCACCAGCUAGCAUUAGCUAGCCGGCAGCAAUGGAUAGCUGUCGCGCACCAGCAGCCGUGAGCCAGCCAGUCCAGCAGUCUUCCACACCUCGUUCAACAGUGCACACGUGGUAGAGAAGUAACCUCUUUAUUCCAAAAGAAAUGCAUUUGAUUACAAGUCAAUUAAUCUCAAAUUUAACUAAAUAUAUGCCAGAUCCUGUGUCUGCUGUUAUGCGUGUGAAGGAAUGACUACUUUGUCUUUGUCUUCUUGUGUGCGUUGCAGUAGUUAUACUGCCAUGUGAAUGUGGAAAAACCCGAAGCUGCAUCCCUCUGAUACUAUCGAACAGUGAAUACAUGGCAUUUUGUCUUGAUUUUGUAAUAAUAGCUGAUAAGUCUUGGUUUAUGACUUUUUUGUUGUCCACCUGUCAUGUACUUUUGUGUAUAAUUUAUAAUAGCGGGUACCCGAAUUUUACCCAAACCCAAACCCAAACCCAAACCCGAAUUUGCGGGUACCCGAAAUUGCGGGUACCCGAGAUUUCGGGUACGAGUACGGUUUUUACUAUUGAAAAACUGAAAUAUAAAAAUCCCAAAAAGCCCGACCCGAAAUUUCGAGUAAACCCGAACGCCCAGUCCUACCGCCGGGGCGCGGGCGCAUAGGGCCGCCGAGCGCGAGGCCACCAGGUGCGCGCGCGGGGGGAAGAAGGAAGGGGAGGGAGAGAGAGAGAGAGAGAGAGAGAGAGAGAGAGAGAGAGAGAGAGGAUCUCACCUCGGGGUCCAAAUUCGGCAAUCACCGUCUCCAAAGCCUAGGGCACAACGGGGAAGAGAGAGGUGGAGGGGAGGAAGUUGCUGUGCGGGAAAAAUUGAAUAAGGGGAAGGGAGAGAAGAGAGGGGGCACAUGGGGAGGGGCAGGGCGCCAGGGGCACGCGGGCCAGGGCCGGGCCGGACUGGGUUGGGCCGCACCACGGGACAAAAACCCACGACACGCACAACCACAUAUCGGAAUCCAAUCGCGAAACGAAAUCCGAAACGAGACCAAGAAAACACGCGAUUAAACACGACAUCAUACAAAAGAAAUAUGAUUCAGCAUGAUGCAACACUCAUGUCAACUUAGGUUUUUUUCACACGCAAUACGGACACCACUCGCUAUACUGCUUUGAAAUUGGGAAGAAGGAGCGAAACAAAAGAGAAAAGAGAGUAACGCCUGAAUUUGGUGAGUACAAAAGAAGAAAAAAUUCUACCCCCAAAUUCAGGGCGUUACAAUUGUUAAUUGACAUUUAUUAACGGUAAAUCAAAAAUACUACUUAGCUUUCACUAACUUACUAUUUUAAUUGUGGAUGAUUAAAUAAAUAACUAAUUAACUUACAUGAGUGAUUAUAAGCGAACGAUUUUAUCUCGCGCGCGGAUAACGGGCGAACGGCGCGUGGCAAGGCGUGCGACACACGCGAACGGCACGCGACAAGACAUGCGAACGCCGCACGACAAUGCGUACGAACAGCACGUGCGACACUCGUGAACGACAUGUGACGACGCGCGUGAAACAACACUGCGCCACGCGCACAGCACGCGGGCUGACACGAUAUGCAGAAACUAAUAAAUAAAUAAAUAAUAUAAUUAAACUAACUAAUUAUUUAAUAAGAACAGUUCAAUUAACAUUAAUCAUGUUGGUGACUAAUUAUAAAUGCGUAAAUCGAAUUCCUAAAUAGAUUUGAAAAUUGAAACGUCGUUCGAGUAGCCAUCGGUCAAACAGACGUUUAAAUAAAUUAAAUAAAAUGUGCAACAGUGGGCGAAAUGCUUUUAACAUGAAGAUAAUUUUAUACGAAUCUAACGCAACUUGAAUGGAUCGAAUCGGGUUUUAAACGCAAAAGUUAUCACUGUUUUAAACUAGAAUGUAAUUCCUGCGUACUAAAUUACAAAACUGUCAUCUUCUUCCUCACCUCAUCUUCUUACUCCCAUCCAUGGAAGAGAGAGGAGGAGGGGAAGGAGGCUGCAAGGGGGGAGAGUCGGGCCGGGCCGCCGCGGGGCGCGGCGCGCGCGCGUCGGCUGCCGCUAGGGAAGGGAGAGGGGCCGCGCCGGGGCGAAACACAGGGGGAGAGGGCGCCGCCACCGGGGAAGGUGAGGGGAAGGAGAGGGAGGCUUGCACGGACGGGAAAACAAAGAAACCUUAGGUGCAACAAUAGAGGUUUUUCACCGGGGAAAAACACCCUCAUCGGAGCCGAGGAGAAAUCUGUCGAUUGACAGAGAUUCAGAGGUCCGAUCGACGAACCGGACGCAGGGCCGGCCCUGGGGGGUGGCAGCCGGUGCCACCGCACCGGGCCCCAUGAAGCUGGUGGGCCCCCACCCCAUAAACAAUAUUCCACAGGCCACAACGACAAUUGCAGAUUUGCAGCCUGCUACGCCAGAGGCCCAGAGUCCAGACGCUAAUCCAAUUGCCUACGCCUAUUCCUCUGCCCGCCGCCUGCAUGCGCCUGUUCGCCUGCCCUGAUCGCGCUGCCUGUUACCGCUGUCUCUGCGGCUCUGCCUGGCGAGUGGCGACUGGCGUUCGCUCGCCGCUCCGCUCGCCGCUCGGCCACGGCCGACUCCAGCUCCGGCGACCGGCGCUCCUCGCUCCUGCCUGGCGCGCCUCCCACAGUCCCGUCCCGCGACCGCGUUCGGUUUCCUCCUGGCGCUGGCAAAUUUAAGGUAACUGAUUGUUGAUUUGUUGGCUUAAUCUAAUUGACAAAUUUAAGGUAACUAAUUAAUAAUAAUAACUGCGCUAUUUAGAUAUGUAUAAUCAUUCUUAUGUUACCCUUCAAUUUAUGAUAUAUAUAUAUAUAUAUAUAUAUAUAUAUAUAUAUUAUUUUCAGUGUUUUGUGUAAUCAUGUCUAAAUAGCGUGAUAUCAUGUGACAUGUGACAAGUAAGUGUUAUGGCUCUAAUUUAUAUUUAUCAUCUUAUAAACUUUAAGGCAUGGCAUAGAAGUUUUUUCCAUUGAAUGUUCAAUAAUUUAUGUUUAUAAUUAUAUAUAUAGUGUAUAUACAUGGUGGAUGGGGCUUCCAUAUUGGAUUUCGCCCUAGGCCCCCAAAAAGUCAGGAACGGCCCUGACCGGACGCGCCCCGACGAAGCCCUCGACGAGACGAACGUAUUGUACCCUCGGAUUCCGCACACGAUGCGUGGAUUGAGAGUAAUUGCUCGACGGAGUUGGAACCGCUUCCGAACUUCGGCGAGCAAUUCCGGGAGUUGGGAGUUGAAUUUGGGAAAACCGUUUCGUGCUCUAGAACGGGUUCGACGAGGAGAAGUCGGGCAUGUAUAUAUAUCUAGGGUUCGAACGAGAUGGAAAUUCGGUUGAAAUUCAGAUUUUACCAUUUAUAAAAUUCGGAAAAGCCUAGAAAUUCAUAUUUUGUGCUCAAAAUAUUAUAGAUGCUUCCAAAAAUUACAGAAAAAUUCCUAGAAAUGUUUUGGCACCUAAUGAACUCAAAAAACAUACUUAGAGUUUCUAAAAACAUUUUAAGUACCUCAAAAAAAUAGAUUUUGCUUUCCGGAAAAUAGAAAAAUAUUCCAAAAAUAGCAAAAUCUACUGAGAGCUUCUAUAGGAUAAACUAACAUGAUUCAAACACAUUUUGCACUUAGAAACAUCGUGCAACGACAUGAAUGCAACAACCAAGGCGCCUCUAGGGUUCAUUCCACUAGGCUUACGCCAAUAUAAGACGAAAUAAUUCUCCAUUUUUAGAAAAAAGAGAAGGAAAGCUAAGAAAUAAGAGAGUGUUACAAUAUAAGACGAAAUAAUUCUCCAUUUUUGGUGGAUAUUAGGAAAUAAAUUCUAUACCCCUAAAUUCAGGGUGUUACAAAUCUAAUCACCUUAACAGAAUCUCGCCCUCGAGAUUCAAGGAGCGGCUAGCAAGAAAAUGAGAUUGGUUCAUUGGUUUUUCAUAGCUUCUUCUGACUCAACUUUGACUCUGGCAACUUUAACUUGCGGACUGGUUGCUUUGACCUUCAGAUGCUUGAGACCAAUUGAUGCAAUUCUUGAUAAUCUCUUGGACCUGUGGGUUAGGACCCACACACGCUUCCGCUGCACCACUUUGAUCUUAUUGGUUGAUGUUGAUUGCAUUGUCUUCAUUGGGGUUAGCGGCUAACCCCCUUAACAGGAGCAUUGAUAUGCACUUGGUGAAGAUGUUGCCGACUUUGAUCUUGACUGAUUAAGAGAGGUUGUAGGAUGCCAACCAGACAGGUGCAAGAGGGAUGGGUAUAGAUAGAAAAGGUGAGCAUAGAUGGAUUAAAGAGAUAAAAGGGAGAGCACCCAGCUACCUAACUCUAUGUCACUCGGCUAGUAAACUGAUGUCAUUGCGGACCAAGGGCCACAACACAUCAACACUCAUCACAAAGAAGCAAAUCAGUCAUCACAUAAAGACAAACAACACAAGCAUACAACAACAAACAUCUCGUUGCUAUAUGUUCCUUUUAAUUAAAUGGUGGCCUUUCUAGAAAAGGGAAUAACUACUCUCUGAGGUUGUCGAAGGAAAAGGAGAAGAACAAGACGUGUAGGAUAGGGGCAUGUGCACAAUAAAGGAUAGAGCUAAAGCAAACAUUGUAAGCGACCAGGAAAAGGAUACGGCCAAGAGCAUAAUGGGAAGAACACUACUCUCAAGUUGAGAUAGAAAAGGGGAGAUUCCAAAAAGCAGACUUGAGAUAAGCAUACAAGAAAGAUCUAGUGAUUACGAAGGUAAUAGUGAUAUCAAAUGAAAGCUAAGACUUGCAAUGCGAUAGAGGAAAAAGGAAACGACCAUGAGCAGAAUGGGUAAGACAACACUCUUGAACUUAAAUAGGAGGGGAAGCUUUAAAAUAUGGGUACAUGAUAAGCAUCAAAGUAAAGAUCCAGGGAUGACAAGGGUUAAGGUGAUAACGGACAAACACACAACAAAGGAUGUAUUUUAGACAAAACUUGCAAGGUGUCAAAGAAGGGAGAGCACUCAAUGAUGAAAUAGAUGAGGCAUUAUCCCCGAACAGGGAUGGAAAAGAGGAGGCUUCAAAGGGUAGGUUCAAGAUAAGCAUGAAGGUAAGGGUAUAGAUAUUGCAAGGGUUAAAGGUGAUAAUAGACAAGAACGUUAGUGAGGAGGUAAAUGGACAUAAGAACAAAGGAUAUAAGUACCAUAGAGGAUGGAGUUAAGACAGGACCUACAAGUGGAAAAAGAGAGGGUACGUCCAAGGGCGAGAUAGGUAAAUUGCCACUCUCAAAUUGAGGUGGAAGAGAGGAGAUUUUUAAAGAGUAGGAAUAGAGAUAAAUGUCAAGGUAAGAUCGAUAGAUGACAAGGGAAUGAUGAUAGCAAAUAAAAACACAUCAAAGGAUAGAAUUGGGACAGAACCUAUAAUGCGACAAUGAGUGAAAAGAAAUCAAGGGAGAGAUAGGUAACUCACAACUCCCAAACUGGGUUGAAAGAAAGGGGAGGCUUUUAAAGGAUAAGUUCAAGGUAAGCAUUUAGGUAGAAGAUAUCAAUAUCGCAAGGGUCAAAGGCGGUAACAUACAAGGGUAUAAGAGAAAGGAUGAAGGCAUAGAAGAGCCAGUGGUACAAGUAUAACAAAGAAUGGAUUUACGUCAAGGCUUGCACGCAGUAAAGGAGAGGAUAUUUCCAAGAGUGAGAUAAGUAAAACACCGCUCUCAAACUGGGAUAGGAUAUUGGAGAUUUUAGAGAACGGACAUAGUGUAAUUACCAAGGUAAGAUCGAGAGAUAAGGUAAAGGUAAUACCCAACCGGAGCACAACAAAGGAUAGAGUUAAGAACUCGCAAACGACAAGGAAGAGGAUACAACCAAGGUAAAAUUGGUAAAAUUCAACUAUAAAAUUGAGAUGGAAGAGAGGGUUUUAAAGGAUAGGUAUAAUAUAAGUAUCAAGGUAAGAUAUAGAGGUGAUAAGGGUAAAGGUGAUAAUGAUGAAAAGCAUAAUCCAUGGACAAAGUUAAGGCAAGACUCACAAAGUGACGAAGCAUAGAAAACAAUCAAGGAUAAGGUAAGUGAGGUUCAGACAGAAGAGUUGAAGUAAAAAAAUCAUUACCGAAGGAAGUUACAAGGAAACAACAAGAUUACCACGAAUGUGCAAAAUAAAAUGACCGCUCAUGGAUCAUUAAGAAACAAGGGUGGUCAAGGACAUGUUAACUGAAAUGUCUUAACAGACAUUGGGGUAUGAAGAUAAGCAUACAUGAAAAUAUAAGGGUAUGCAAGACUCCAAGGAUACAAACAUACUAAGACCAAGGGAAUAGAAAUUGCCGAUAGAUAAUGACUUAACAACGGAAUAGAAAGGGAUCUCAAAAGACAGGAAGGUCAUGAAAAUAUAAAUUGGAAUGUUUAAAUAGGCAAUAGUGUUUUCAGAGUUAAGUAUUUGAAAUAAGGGAUAAGGGUAUGGAAGAAUCCAAAAGAUGUAGUGUGUCAAUACCAAUGGAACAUAUAUUGUCAAAGGUUGGAAAUUUAACGAUAGAAAAGAAAAGAAUCCUGAAAGACAAGAAAGUUAUGGUUAGGGGGCACCUACAAAGAUGUCACGAGCACAAGAGUAAGAUCAGAUCUAAUAGAAUGAAUAAGUAAAGCAUAGAAAGUACUAGAAUAAAAUACAUUUUGCAUGGUGAUAUAUAUACAAAGCAUAACGUAGAAUUAGUCCAAGUGACUAAUAUUUUGAAACAACAUCAAGGAUGAGGUGAAGUAAUAGUCAAUAAGUCCUUAAAACGACCAAUGCUACUCUAGGAUAGCGGUCCUACAGUUAGCAAGGCUUUGAUACCACUUAUGUCACAUCGAGUUUUGAAGGUAAACCGAAUGUGAACCAUGUACGUGCCAAGAUCAGAAAUUCACAUACACAACGAUUACAUAAAUGACUCAUCAUAGCACAAUGCUUCGAGUAACAAUAAAUAGUAAGUAAUAAUAUUAAAGACUAGAGUCAUUUACAUAAUAUGAAUCAAAGUACACAAAAUAGAAACGUAGCCAAUGUAAACAAACCCGCCAAAGGCAGCUGACUGGGGGAGGUCUCUAGCCUAAUCCUCAAACUCGUCGAAGUCUUGGAACUCCUGGAGAUUUGCCUCGACGCCUUCUUCUCCCUCUUUACCUGAGCAUAGAUUGCACCAACGAUAACCUGGUGUUUUGUGAAAGCAAGUGUGAGUACACAUCAACGUACUCAACAAAUGUCCCGUUUGGUUGAGGUAGACUAGCUUUAUGUGGAGUUAAGAUCAAAGCAGUUGCUUUUAGUUGGUCAGGUAUUUAUUAUUAGUGGAAGCCAAGUUUUAUCAAUGACCAACUCGUGAAUCAUUUCCUCAUCGAGGAACAUCAUUAUCAUCAUUGAACCAAAUCCAUCAAUAGAACUAUUGUAUCUCAAACCAUAUGUAUCUCUAAUAAAAGAGGAUCCCAAGGCCGCUCUUAACCGUGAGCACGACUGAUAUAUCUGUUUCUUUCCCCUGUAGAGGUUGCACACUUUACCCACGAGCUGUGAUUCCCUUUCUGCCCGGAGAGCGAUACUCCCCAUUGACCACACUACCUAGGUGGCCUGGCAGGUAUCACUACGUAGCCUUUACAAAGAUUCCCCUGGUGUGUAGUUGCUCGUUAGGUUUCGCUAGUCGUACAAACACAGUACUCCUCUCUAAACUGGAUGACUAACAAAACCGAAUCAAAUGAACCUCGGCACCCACCCUUAGCAGAGUAAGCACUAUGCCCCGGCCCCCAUUGACGGCCCUUCGGCAAAGCCAACUACACCCCCAAGUUCUUCUAAUUAAUCAUCUAAGGGCAUCCCAUUCGACCCUCAUGGUUGUACUGUUAUCCCGGGUGGUCUCUCAACGAACAGGUCCUUACGGAGAGGUACUUAGGAAACAACCUGAGUCCCCUAAAGUAUCACAAGUUCAUCAUCAUAACCAAGAUAACAUCAUCGUAUCAUAAAUGUUCUCGUCAUGUUCGUUGAUUAAAGUAGAGCAAUAGCAUGAAGGUAAUCAUAAUAACCCAAAAGUUAAUCAAGGACAAGGUAAAUACAAAGCUAGUCAAUCCUUAGGUUUCAAUUAAGUAAUGCGAGACAGUGAAUUAUAACUAAGUAGGACAUAAUGGGUCAGAUGACACUUGCCUUCACCAAAUAGAUGCUUAGGAUCUUCAACUUUGUAGAACUCAAAGAACCAAAUCACUUGGUCACCAACGCUUGACUAUCGAUUCCUCGAAGCUCAAAAACGGAUCGUGAAGCGAAGACGAACAUGCACAAGCAAACAAACAUAUAUAUGCAUAAAACAUUACACCAUACCAAGAAAAACAUAAUAAAAACAUGCAAUACGAAAUAGAGCGCGCUACUACGGUUACAUGAGGAAAAGAAACGUCGAACUCGAAGUUAUGGUCGAGAAGAUAUCACAUUUACACUAAACAAGUAUUAGUUAGAACGUUUGGUUCAACAUGGUUAGAUUAAUUGACAUUUAUUAAUGGUAAAUCAAAACUACUACUUAUCUUUCAGUGGCUUACUAUUUUAAUUGUGGAUGAUUAAAUAAAUAACUAAUUAACUAACAUGAGUGAUUAUAAGUGAACGGUUUUAUCUCGCGUGCGGAUAACGCGCGAACGGCGCGCGGCAAGGCGCGCGACACACGCGAACGACGCACGACAACGUGUGAGAAUGGCGCACGACAACACGUGCGAACAACACGCGCGACACUCGCGAACGACUCGAGACGAAGCACGCAAAACAGCAUUGCGGCACGCGCACGGUACGCGCUCAGCACGCGGGCUGACACGAUACGCGAAAACUAAUAAAUAAAUAACAUAAUUAAACUAACAAUUAUUUAAUAAGAAGAGUUCAGUUAACAUUAAUCAUAUUGGUGACUAAUUAUAAAUGCACAUAUCGAAUUUCUAAAUUAGAUUUUAAAAUUAAAACGUCGUUCUAGUAGCCAUCGGUCAAAAACGUUUAAAUAAAUUAAAUAAAAUAUGCAACAAUGGAGGAAAAUUCUUUUAUCUUGAAGACAAUUUUUAUACGAAUCUAACGCAACUUGAUGGAUCGAGUCGUGUUUAAAACGCAAAAGUUAUCACUGUUUAAACUAGAUUGUAAUUCAUGUAUACUAAAUUACAAAACUAACAUCUUCUUCCUCACCUCAACUUCUUCCUCCCAUCCCUGGAAGAGAGAGGAGGAGGGAGAAGGGGGCUGUGCAGUGGGAGAGCCGAGCCUGGUCGUCGUGGGCACGGCCACGCGCGGCACCGCGCGUCGGUCGAACCGGUCGGGCCGACCGCCACUAGGGAAGGGAGAGGGGCCGCGCCGGGGGGAACAUAGGGGGAGGGAGCACCGCCACCGAGUAAGGUGAGGGGAGGGACAGGGAGGCCCUGCAUGGACGGGAAAACGAAGAAACUAAGAAACCUUAGGUGCAAUAAGGGAGGUUUCUCACCGAGGAAAAAGACCCUCACUGGAGCCGAGGAGAAAUCCAUCGAUUGACUGAGAUUCAGAGGUCCGAUUGACAAACCGGACAUGCCCCAACAAAGCCCUCGAUGAGACGAACGCAGCGGUACCCUCGGAUUUCGCAGACGAUGCCCGGAUUGGGAGUAAUUGCUCACCGGACUUGGAACCGCUUCCAAACUUCGACGAGCAAUUCCGGGAGCUGGGAGUUGAAUUUGGGGAAACCGUUUCUGCUCUAGUCGGGCUCGACGAGGAGAAGUCGGGCAUGUAUAUAUACAGGGUUCGAACGAGAUGGAAAUUUGGUUCAAAUUCAGAUUUUACCAUUUAUAAAAUUCAGAAAAGCCUAGAAAUCCAUAUUUUGUGCUCAAAAUAUUAUAGAUGCUUCCAGAAAUUUCAGAAAAAAUCCUAGAAAUGUUUUGGCACCUAAUGAACUAAAAAACAUGCUUAGAGUUUCUAAACAUUUUAAGUACCUCAAAUAAAUAGAUUUUGGUUUCCAGAAAAUAUAAAAAUAUUCCCAAAAAUAUGAAAAAUCUACUGAUAGCUUCUAUAGGAUAAACUAACAUGUUUCAUACGUAUUUUGCACCUCGAAACACCGUGGAACGACAUGAAUGCAACAACCAAGGCCCCUCUAGGGCUCAUUCUACUAGGCUUACACCAAUAUAAGAUAAAAUAUUUCUCCAUUUUUAGGAAAAAUAGAAGAAAAACAAAGAAAUGAGAGAGUAACACCUGAAUUUGGUGGAUAUUAGGAAAGAAAUUUUAUAUGCCCAAAUUCAGGGUGUUACAUUUAAGCUUCACCCACAUACAGCUAGUCCACUUUAGUCAAACGUGACAUUUGCUGAGUACGCUAAUGUGUACUCACCCUUGCUUAAAACACCAAACACCAGGUUGUCCCCAUUGAACCCCGACUUAGGAGGAGAUGAAGGCAACAUGUAGGACUUUUAGGAGUUUCAUGACUUCGAUGAGUUCUAGAGUAGAUUAGCGGCAAAGCCCCAUUCAGCUGUCUAUGAAGGCCUUAUCGUACUACAUUUCGUUUAGCACUUUGAUUAUGGUUUAAGUUAAUAAGUUUGGGGAUGUUUCGGACAUCACGAUGUAAUAAAGUACUACUUCUUUCCACCAUUAUUUGAGCACUGUGUGAUGAUGUCCAAUUAUGUAAUUAUUGUGUACGCGAACUUCUGAUCCUGGCAUGUACAUGGUUCACAUUUGGUUGGCCUUCCAAAACCGGGUGUUACAAGUAAAUUUGGGGAUUACAUUGUAUUAGAGAUUUAAGGAUACUAUGUGUGGAAUAGAGAACAUGGCAUCAUUUGUGCUAUUACUUAUAUCCUCGGAUGUAAUCAAUCGUCUAGGUCCAUUCCACGAUUCAACUAUUCCAAUGGCUGCCUUGAGCUAACUAGUUCGAUGGUUUACGAGGAUAAGCCACAUAAUAUGACCCCUUCAGUAACAAAAUGCGUGAACACUAUUUGUAGAUGUCAUAAAAACUUAAUGCAUAAACGACGACAUCUUAAUUAAUGUUGGAAAUUGUACAAGUAAUGCAUGCAAACUGUGAAGACAUAAGUUUUAUCCCACGAGUAGAAAGCUCAUGUUUUGUAGCACGAAUGAACACCUUAGCUUCGACCUUCAAAGAAUGACCAACGUACGUUAACGUCGUUAAGGAUGUCCCUACAUCUAAAAUCAGCAUGUACUAUCAUAUAUUUAAUUUAAAUUAGUCAUCGAAAAUAUGUAUUAUAUUAAAAUGUAGCCAUGCAUGAUAAAGUUAGGAUUACGUAGGAGAUACAUGGACAACACAACAUUCAUGGAUCCUUUUUUAAAAAAUGAAGGCCUAUCAAAUAUUUUAUUAGGCACUUAUUAUAUAACUGGUCAAUCCCUUUCUUAACUCUUCUCUUUUAAACAACAUCGAAGUUUGACUCUAGCUAUAUAUGGAGAUGGAGAAGAUGGAGAAGGAGGAUGACACCAUUAUUAUUGGCGCCAUCAUCACUGUCGUAAUAGGGUAGUGGUAGCAAAUAGAUAUCACGGUCCGAUGCAUGCAUGUGUAAUGCAUUACUUGGGAUCCAACCCAAUCCAGUAUAGCUAGUAGAAGACGACUUAAAGUAUUGUUAGCACUAAAGGUAAUUAUUUGGCGGUGUAGGCGGUGUUGGCCUUCUAGUUGGCAGGGAUGACAUCGUCGUAGAUGGUAUUGGUGCCUCCCUCGGCAAUGAGGCGAACGGUGAGGGGUCCCUUAAGCAGUUUGUCGCUGUCCUUCCUCCAGAUGGCGCCCCAGGAGUGCUUCAGGGGCUCGCACGUGUCGGAGCCCUUCUCCUUGACGUCCACCACCACAAUGUCACCGUCGCCGUCGACGUACUUGACCAGCAACGCCAGGUAAUUGGGGUUGCACCCCUUUUCAAGGUGGAAGGUGAUCUUGGAGCCGUACUUGCACUUGACCCUUCGGAACUGCAUGUCGACGAUGCCCGCCUUGCACGGCUUCUCCUCCUCGUCCUUCUUGGCAAUGGCGCUGAACGCCGUGCCUGCCAAAUCGAAGUGGUACACCGCGAUAGGCUCAUAGUUCAUGUCCGUGAUGUGCACCACCAUGGGCUUGCUGGAGCACUCUGCAGGCUUAUUGCACUUGAUCUUGAAGCAGGGCCUACAACCCAGACCAUCCUUGAAGAUGGGGAUGUUGCCGCAUGCACCCAUGCUAUUGAAGGGGGGCUUGUUCACGUCCUUGUACCCAUAGCCGCCGCCGUUGUCGUCGAGACCGGCGCCCGUCGGCUUGCCAUACCAUGUCGCUUUAGCGUCCAGCCAGUCCUUGCCAUAGGUGGUCGUGAUGAUCUUACCAGGGGGACCUUGGGAGGACCGCACGAGGCGCCGCUCACCAAGAACACCAACGCCUUAGCCAUCGCCACAUGUGCCUACAUCGACGACCACAUGUUGCUCACAUUCACAGCCAUGUUUUGUCUUGGAUCAGUGAAUGGUACUAUGCUACGAUGAAUGAGCUGGUAUGCCUGAAUUUAUGGUUGUGCGUGCCAACGGUUGGACGAUCGAGCUUGCAACCGUGAAGCGUGCGCAUGCAUGCACCAACGAUGAGGUAGAUCUUGCAUGGUCGAGAGAGCUAUUCUCUUGACCGCCAGUUAUUAAUUGGUUUCGUAUAUUGGAGGUGACCAUGCAUGGUAGCUCAUCAUACAAAGUUGCUCGUAUCGUCGCGAUACUUAUGCCAUUGUGCUACUUUGGCUAAUGGUGAAGCGAGGACUCUCCUUCUUCUCGCUUUGAAAGGGAAAUAGCCUCAACAUUUCCUAUAAUCGAUUUUGGUGUUUGACGUCCAUCACAAACCAUAUGGACUAAUUAGUUGGCCUAGUGGACAUUUUUCCCACGUGCAUAAAGUUCACAUAAACAUACAAAGAAAAUGACUUGAGGGAAUUCUACAAAGUUUGGAGCAUACAAGUUCUUCUGCUACCAGUAGCGCACCAGACACUGUCCGGUGUGCAUCGGACACUGUCUGGUACCCUGGCUGAGCACCUCGCGAACUGGUCGCUCUCGGGUUUUCUCAGUGUUAGCCCGCUAAAAUUCAUCAAACUGUCCGGUGCACCACCAGACUAUCCGGUGAGACAACGGAGCAACGAUCAACUUCGCUGACUACAGGGCAGUCUGCAGCGCAGAAGUCAGAAGUCAGUCUGCAAAGUCAGAACACACCAGACUGUUCGGUCUGCCACCGGACUGUCCGGUGCCACGAGAAGACAGUAGACUUCAAUGGUCAAUAGCUCCAAACCCCAAUGGUCAACAGCUCCAAACCCCAACGGUCGGCUCACGUGGCACUCACCGGAUAGUAAACAAUGUAGUGUUCCGUGCACCACCGGACUGUCCGGUGUGCCCAUCUACAGCAACGGCUGGAAUAGUGAUUAGGGCUAUAAAUACCCCUGACCACCACCAUUCAAGCCACCCAAGCAUUGUAACUUCCUCAUUCAAUACUAGAGCAAAAGAAUACACUCCAAACACACAAUCAAAGCAUCAACCGCUCUCCAAGCUUCAAAAUCAAGUCAAGUGAUCAAAAGUGCUUAGUGACUUGAGAGAGGGUGAUUUGUGUUUGUUUUGUUGCUCUUGUUGCUUGGUUGCAUUCUUCUUCUCAUUCUAAACUUCUCAAGUGUUUUGUAAAGCAAGCGAGAGACACCUAAUUGUGUGGUGAUCCUUGCGGGGUCUUAGUGACACGUGUGAUUAAGAAGAUGCACUUAACCGGUCUAAGUGACCGAUUGAGAGAGGAAAAGGGUUGGAAUAGACCCAGCCUUUGUGGCCUCCUCAAUGGGGAGUAGGUUCCUUGGAACCGAACCUCUGGAAACAAAUCACCGUGUUCACUUGUGUUGAUCUUUAUCACUCGAUUUGUUUCUUCCCUCUCCUCUCUUCCUAAAAGUUCCCUUGCUCACAUUGAUUUGAGUUUGAUACCAAAGUUAUCCGCAUUGAUUGAGCAACUCAAAGCAAGGAGAACUAUCUCCCGCUCUUCGAAUUUAAUAUUAUUUAUCUCUAACCCUAACCCCGUGUGAAGUGCGUGUUCAAAGUUUAUAAUUUUCAAGUUUCGCCUAUUCACCCUCUCUAGGCGACUUUCAUGCUUCCUAUGGAAGAAUGUCAUUGUUGCCACAUAUUUUUAAGUCAUUAUAUUGGAGCAAAGUGGCGUAACCAUGUCAACCUCUAUUAUUCGUGGAAACGAUCCUUCAGGGAUUGUCGCAAGUUAAUUGGUAUAUCAAAUGUGCGAAUGUAGGAUUUAAACAUAGCGUAAUCUUCAAGACUCCACAUCUAAAUGAACAACUAGAAAGAUGACUUGUCUAGACAAUUAUAGGGAAUUGAACCAUAAACAUUCGAGGUACUCCAAUUAUACAAAAAAUGUAAUUAUGAGAUUCGUGUUGGACAAACGAGGUCAAAUUUAACCAAAUUUAUAUUCAGUAUUAUUAAUAUUUAUAUCAAAUAUAUUAUACUAGAACUUUUAAUACAUAGUAAAAUGAACUGCGAGCUUUCCAAAGAACCCCAACAUUCUUCUUUGCUAAAAAAGACUAUUUUGUAUGCGCAUGCAUAGGCAACUAAUUCUUCUAACUAGUUGUUAUAACAUUUUCUUUUAUAUAUACUAGUCAGUUGUCAGUAUGUUACUAUGGUUUUCAUAUUCACAAUAUUUAUAAUAUACAUUCUUUCUAGAACAUGAAUAAAUAUGUGUUUCAGUGGUUAGACGCUAAGCAUAGGAGGAAUGGUUCUAACCCUAGGUUCUACAUUUUUUGGAUUUUCUCAUGGGAGAACUUAACGCAUAAAGGGCGACAUCUUAAUUAAUGUUGGAAAUUGUACAAGUAAUGCAUGCAAACGGUGAAGACAGAAGUUUUAUCUCAUGAGUAGAAAGCUCAUGUUAUGUAGCACUAAUGAACACCUUAGCUUCGACCUUCAAAGAACGACCAACGCACGUUAAGGAUGGCCCUACAUCUAGAAUCAGCAUGUACUAUCAUAUAUUUCAAUUAGUCAUAAAAAAAUAUGUAUUCUAUUAAAAUGUAGCCAUGCAUGAUAAAGUUAGGAUUACGUAGGAGAUACAUGGACAACACAACAUUCAUGGAUCCUUUGAUAAAAAAUGAAGGCCUAUCAAAUAUUUCAUUAGGCACUUAUUAUAUAACUUGUCAAUCCAUUUCUUAACUUUUCUCUUUUAAACAACAGAGAAGUCUCACUCUAGCUAUAUAUGGAGAUGAAGAAGAUGGAGAAGGAGGAUGACACCAUCAUUGUUGGCGCCAGCAUCACUGUCGUAAUAGGGUAGUGGUAGCAAAUAGAUAUCACGGUCCAAUGCAUGCAUGUGUAAUGCAUUGCUUGGGAUCCAACCAAUUCUAGUAUAGCUAGCAUAGGCCGGCUUAAAGUAUUGUCAGCACUAAAGUUAAUUAUUUGGCGGUGUAGGCGGUGUUGGCCUUCCAGUUGGCAGGGAUGACAUCGUCGUAGACGGACUUGGUGCCUCCCUCGGUAGUGAGGCGGACGGUGAGGGGUCCCUUAAGCGGUUUGUCGCUGUCCUUCCUCCAGAUGGCGCCCCAGGAGUGCUUUAGGGGCUCGUACGUGUCAGAGCCCUUCUCCUUGACGUCCACUGCCACAAUGUCACCGUCGCCAUCGACGUACUUGACCAGCAGCGCCAGGUAGUUGGGGCCGCACCCCUUUUCAAGGUGGAAGGUGACCUUGGAGUCGUACUUGCACUUAACCCUUCGGAACUGCAUGUCGAUGAUGCCCGCCUUGCGCAGCUUCUCCUCCUCGCCCUUCUUGGCCAUGGCGCCGAACGCCGUGCCUGCUAAAUCGAAGUGGUACGCCGCGAUAGGCUCAUAGUUCAUGUCCGUGAUGUGCACCACCACGGGCUUGCCGGAGCACUCCACAGGCUUAUCGCACUUGAUCUCGAAGCAGGACCCACAACCCAGACCAUCCUUGAAGAUGGGGAUGUUGCCGCAUGCGCCCAUGCUAUUGAAGGGGGGCUUGUUCACGUCCUUGUACCCGCAGCCGCCACCGUUAUCGUCGGGACCGGCACCCGUCGGCUUGCCAUACCAUGUCGCUUUAGCGUCCAGCCAGUCCUUGCCAUAGGUGGCCGUGAUGUUCUUGCCUGGGGGGACUUUGGGAGGACCGCACCAUGCGCCGCUCACCAAGAACACCAACGCCACAACCAUCGCAACCUGUGCCCGCAUCGACGACCACAUGGUUCUCACAUUCACAGCCAUGUUUUGUCUUGGAUUAGUGAAUGGUACUAUGCUACGAUGAAUGAGCGGGUAGGCCUGAAUUUAUGGUUGUGUGUGCCAACGGUUGGACGAUCGAGCUUGCAACCGUGAAGCGCGCGCAUGCAUGCACCAACGAGGAGGUAGAGUUUGCAUGGUCGAGCGAGCUUUUCUCUUGGCCACCAGUUUACUAAUUGGUUCCGUAAGUCGAAGGUGACCAUGCAUGGUAGCUCUGCAUGCAAAGCUGCUCGUAUCAUCGCGAUACUUAUGCCAUGGUGCUACUUUGGCUAAUGGUGAAGCGAGGACUCUCCUUCUUCUCGCUUUGAAAGGGAAAUAACCUCAACAUUUCCUAUAAUCGAUUUUGGUGUUUGACGUCCAUCACAAAACCAUAUGGACUAAUUAGUUUGCCUAGUGGACAUUUUUCCCACGUGCAUAAAGUUCACAUAAACAUACAAAGAAAAGGAAUUGAGUGAAUUCUACAAAGUUUGGAGCAUACAAGUUCUUGUGCUACUAGUAGCGCACCGGACACUGUCCGGUGUGCAUCGGACACUGUCUGGUACCCUGGCUGAGCACCUCGCGAACUGGUCGCUCUCAGGUUUUCUCAGCGUUAGUCCGCUAAAAUUCAUCGAACUGUCCGAUGCACCACCAGACUAUCCGGUGAGACAACGGAGCAACGAUCAACUUCGCUGACUACAGGGCAGUCUGCAGCGCAGAAGUCAGAAGUCAGUCUGCAAAGUCAGAACACACCAGACUGUUCGGUGUGCCACCAGACUAUCCAGUGCCACAAGAAGAUAGUAGACUUCAACGGUCAAUAGCUCCAAACCCCAAUGGUCAACAGCUCCAAACCCCAACGGUCGACUCACGUGGCACUCACCGGAUAUUAAACAAUGCAGUGUUCCGUGCACCACCGGACUGUCCGGUGUGCCCAUCUACAGCAACGGCUGGAAUAGUGGUUAGGGCUAUAAAUACCCCCGACCACCACCAUUCAAGCCACCCAAGCAUUGCAACUUCCUCAUUCAAUACUAGAGCAAAAGAAUACACUCCAAACACACAAUCAAAGCAUCAACCCCUCUCCAAGCUUCAAAAUCAAGUCAAGUGAUCAAAAGUGCUUAGUGACUUGAGAGAGGGUGAUUUGUGUUUGUUUUGUUGCUCUUGUUGCUUGGUUGCAUUCUUCUUCUCAUUCUAAACUUCUCAAGUGUUUUGUAAAGCAAGCGAGAGACACCUAAUUGUGUGGUGAUCCUUGCGGGGUCUUAGUGACACGUGUGAUUAAGAAGAUGCACUUAACCGGUCUAAGUGACCGAUUGAGAGAGGAAAAGGGUUGGAAUAGACCCAGCCUUUUGGCCUCCUCAAUGGGGAGUAGGUUCCUUGGAACCGAACCUCUGGAAACAAAUCACCGUGUUCGCUUGUGUUGAUCUUUAUCACUCGAUUUGUUUCUUCCCUCUCCUCUCUUCCUAAUAGUUCCCUUGCUCACAUUGAUUUGAGUUUGAUACCAAAGUUAUCCGCAUUGAUUGAGCAACUCAAAGCAAGGAGAACUAUCUCCCGCUCUUCGAAUUUAAUAUUAUUUAUCUCUAACCCUAACCCCGUGUGAAGUGCGUGUUCAAAGUUUAUAAUUUUCAAGUUUCGCCUAUUCACCCUCUCUAGGCGACUUUCAUGCUUCCUAUGGAAGAAUGUCAUUGUUGCCACAUAUUUUUAAGUCAUUAUAUUGGAGCAAAGUGGCGUAACCAUGUCAACCUCUAUUAUUCGUGGAAACGAUCCUUCAGGGAUUGUCGCAAGUUAAUUGGUAUAUCAAAUGUGCGAAUGUAGGAUUUAAACAUAGCGUAAUCUUCAAGACUCCACAUCUAAAUGAACAACUAGAAAGAUGACUUGUCUAGACAAUUAUAGGGAAUUGAACCAUAAACAUUCGAGGUACUCCAAUUAUACAAAAAUGUAAUUAUGAGAUUCGUGUUGGACAAACGAGGUCAAAUUUAACCAAAUUUAUAUUCAGUAUUCUUAAUAUUUAUAUCAAAUAUAUUAUACUAGAACUUUUAAUACAUAGUAAAAUGAACUGCGAGCUUUCCAAAGAACCCCAACAUUCUUCUUUGCUAAAAAAGACUAUUUUGUAUGCGCAUGCAUAGGCAACUAAUUCUUCUAACUAGUUGUUAUAACAUUUUCUUUUAUAUAUACUAGUCAGUUGUCAGUAUGUUACUAUGGUUUUCAUAUUCACAAUAUUUAUAAUAUACAUUCUUUCUAGAACAUGAAUAAAUAUGUGUUUCAGUGGUUAGACGCUAAGCAUAGGAGGAAUGGUUCUAACCCUAGGUUCUACAUUUUUUGGAUUUUCUCAUGGGAGAACUUAACGCAUAAAGGGCGACAUCUUAAUUAAUGUUGGAAAUUGUACAAGUAAUGCAUGCAAACGGUGAAGACAGAAGUUUUAUCUCAUGAGUAGAAAGCUCAUGUUAUGUAGCACUAAUGAACACCUUAGCUUCGACCUUCAAAGAACGACCAACGCACGUUAAGGAUGGCCCUACAUCUAGAAUCAGCAUGUACUAUCAUAUAUUUCAAUUAGUCAUAAAAAAAUAUGUAUUCUAUUAAAAUGUAACCAUGCAUGAUAAAGUUAGGAUUACGUAGGAGAUACAUGGACAACACAACAUUCAUGGAUCCUUUGAUAAAAAAUGAAGGCCUAUCAAAUAUUUCAUUAGGCACUUAUUAUAUAACUUGUCAAUCCAUUUCUUAACUCUUCUCUUUUAAACAACAGCGAAGUCUCACUCUAGCUAUAUAUGGAGAUGAAGAAGAUGGAGAAGGAGGAUGACACCAUCAUUGUUGGCGCCAGCAUCACUGUCGUAAUAGGGUAGUGGUAGCAAAUAGAUAUCACGGUCCAAUGCAUGCAUGUGUAAUGCAUUGCUUGGGAUCCAACCAAUUCUAGUAUAGCUAGCAUAGGCCGGCUUAAAGUAUUGUCAGCACUAAAGUUAAUUAUUUGGCGGUGUAGGCGGUGUUGGCCUUCCAGUUGGCAGGGAUGACAUCGUCGUAGACGGACUUGGUGCCUCCCUCGGUAGUGAGGCGGACGGUGAGGGGUCCCUUAAGCGGUUUGUCGCUGUCCUUCCUCCAGAUGGCGCCCCAGGAGUGCUUCAGGGGCUCGUACGUGUCAGAGCCCUUCUCCUUGACGUCCACUGCCACAAUGUCACCGUCGCCAUCGACGUACUUGACCAGCAGCGCCAGGUAGUUGGGGCCGCACCCCUUUUCAAGGUGGAAGGUGACCUUGGAGUCGUACUUGCACUUAACCCUUCGGAACUGCAUGUCGAUGAUGCCCGCCUUGCGCAGCUUCUCCUCCUCGCCCUUCUUGGCCAUGGCGCCGAACGCCGUGCCUGCUAAAUCGAAGUGGUACGCCGCGAUAGGCUCAUAGUUCAUGUCCGUGAUGUGCACCACCACGGGCUUGCCGGAGCACUCCACAGGCUUAUCGCACUUGAUCUCGAAGCAGGACCCACAACCCAGACCAUCCUUGAAGAUGGGGAUGUUGCCGCAUGCGCCCAUGCUAUUGAAGGGGGGCUUGUUCACGUCCUUGUACCCGCAGCCGCCACCGUUAUCGUCGGGACCGGCACCCGUCGGCUUGCCAUACCAUGUCGCUUUAGCGUCCAGCCAGUCCUUGCCAUAGGUGGCCGUGAUGUUCUUGCCUGGGGGGACUUUGGGAGGACCGCACCAUGCGCCUCUCACCAAGAACACCAACGCCACAACCAUCGCAACCUGUGCCCGCAUCGACGACCACAUGGUUCUCACAUUCACAGCCAUGUUUUGUCUUGGAUUAGUGAAUGGUACUAUGCUACGAUGAAUGAGCGGGUAGGCCUGAAUUUAUGGUUGUGUGUGCCAACGGUUGGACGAUCGAGCUUGCAACCGUGAAGCGCGCGCAUGCAUGCACCAACGAGGAGGUAGAGUUUGCAUGGUCGAGCGAGCUUUUCUCUUGGCCACCAGUUUACUAAUUGGUUCCGUAAGUCGAAGGUGACCAUGCAUGGUAGCUCUGCAUGCAAAGCUGCUCGUAUCAUCGCGAUACUUAUGCCAUGGUGCUACUUUGGCUAAUGGUGAAGCGAGGACUCUCCUUCUUCUCGCUUUGAAAGGGAAAUAACCUCAACAUUUCCUAUAAUCGAUUUUGGUGUUUGACGUCCAUCACAAAACCAUAUGGACUAAUUAGUUUGCCUAGUGGACAUUUUUCCCACGUGCAUAAAGUUCACAUAAACAUACAAAGAAAAGGAAUUGAGUGAAUUCUACAAAGUUUGGAGCAUACAAGUUCUUGUGCUACUAGUAGCGCACCGGACACUGUCCGGUGUGCAUCGGACACUGUCUGGUACCCUGGCUGAGCACCUCGCGAACUGGUCGCUCUCAGGUUUUCUCAGCGUUAGUCCGCUAAAAUUCAUCGAACUGUCUGAUGCACCACCAGACUAUCCGGUGAGACAACGGAGCAACGAUCAACUUCGCUGACUACAGGGCAGUCUGCAGCGCAGAAGUCAGAAGUCAGUCUGCAAAGUCAGAACACACCAGACUGUUCGGUGUGCCACCAGACUAUCCAGUGCCACAAGAAGAUAGUAGACUUCAACGGUCAAUAGCUCCAAACCCCAAUGGUCAACAGCUCCAAACCCCAACGGUCGACUCACGUGGCACUCACCGGAUAUUAAACAAUGCAGUGUUCCGUGCACCACCGGACUGUCCGGUGUGCCCAUCUACAGCAACGGCUGGAAUAGUGGUUAGGGCUAUAAAUACCCCCGACCACCACCAUUCAAGCCACCCAAGCAUUGCAACUUCCUCAUUCAAUACUAGAGCAAAAGAAUACACUCCAAACACACAAUCAAAGCAUCAACCCCUCUCCAAGCUUCAAAAUCAAGUCAAGUGAUCAAAAGUGCUUAGUGACUUGAGAGAGGGUGAUUUGUGUUUGUUUUGUUGCUCUUGUUGCUUGGUUGCAUUCUUCUUCUCAUUCUAAACUUCUCAAGUGUUUUGUAAAGCAAGCGAGAGACACCUAAUUGUGUGGUGAUCCUUGCGGGGUCUUAGUGACACGUGUGAUUAAGAAGAUGCACUUAACCGGUCUAAGUGACCGAUUGAGAGAGGAAAAGGGUUGGAAUAGACCCAGCCUUUUGGCCUCCUCAAUGGGGAGUAGGUUCCUUGGAACCGAACCUCUGGAAACAAAUCACCGUGUUCGCUUGUGUUGAUCUUUAUCACUCGAUUUGUUUCUUCCCUCUCCUCUCUUCCUAAUAGUUCCCUUGCUCACAUUGAUUUGAGUUUGAUACCAAAGUUAUCCGCAUUGAUUGAGCAACUCAAAGCAAGGAGAACUAUCUCCCGCUCUUCGAAUUUAAUAUUAUUUAUCUCUAACCCUAACCCCGUGUGAAGUGCGUGUUCAAAGUUUAUAAUUUUCAAGUUUCGCCUAUUCACCCUCUCUAGGCGACUUUCAUGCUUCCUAUGGAAGAAUUCAUUGUUACCACAUAUUUUUAAGUCAUUAUAUUGGAGCAAAGUUGCGUAACCAUGUCAACCUCUAUUAUUCGUGGAAACGAUCCUUCAGGGAUUGUCGCAAGUUAAUUGGUAUAUCAAAUGUGCGAAUGUAGGAUUUAAACAUAGCGUAAUCUUCAAGACUCCACAUCUAAAUGAACAACUAGAAAGAUGACUUGUCUAGACAAUUAUAGGGAAUUGAACCAUAAACAUUCGAGGUACUCCAAUUAUACAAAAAAUGUAAUUAUGAGAUUCGUGUUGGACAAACGAGGUCAAAUUUAACCAAAUUUAUAUUCAGUAUUAUUAAUAUUUAUAUCAAAUAUAUUAUACUAGAACUUUUAAUACAUAGUGAAAUGAACUGCGAGCUUUCCAAAGAACCCCAACAUUCUUCUUUGCUAAAAAGACUAUUUUGUAUGCGCAUGCAUAGGCAACUAAUUCUUCUAACUAGUUGUUAUAACAUUUUCUUUUAUAUAUACUAGUCAGUUGUCAGUAUGUUACUAUGGUUUUCAUAUUCACAAUAUUAAUAAUAUACAUUUUUUCUAGAACAUGAAUAAAUAUGUGUUUCAGUGGUUAGACGCUAAGCAUAGGAGGAAUGGUUCUAACCCUAGGUUCUACAUUUUUUGGAUUUUCUCAUGGGAGAACUUAACGCAUAAAGGGCGACAUCUUAAUUAAUGUUGGAAAUUGUACAAGUAAUGCAUGCAAACGGUGAAGACAAAAGUUUUAUCUCAUGAGUAGAAAGCUCAUGUUAUGUAGCACAAAUGAACACCUUAGCGUCGACCUUCAAAGAACGACCAACACACGUUAAGGAUGGCCCUACAUCUAGAAUCAGCAUGUACUAUCAUAUAUUUCAAUUAGUCAUAAAAAAUAUGUAUUCUAUUAAAAUGUAGCCAUGCAUGAUAAAGUUAGGAUUACGUAGGAGAUACAUGGACAACACAACAUUCAUGGAUCCUUUUAUAAAAAAUGAAGGCCUAUCAAAUAUUUCAUUAGGCACUUAUUAUAUAACGUGUCAAUCCAUUUCUUAACUCUUCUCUUUUAAACAACAGCGAAGUCUCACUCUAGCUAUAUAUGGAGAUGAAGAAGAUGGAGAAGGAGGAUGACACCAUCAUUGUUGGCGCCAGCAUCACUGUCGUAAUAGGGUAGUGGUAGCAAAUAGAUAUCACGGUCCAAUGCAUGCAUGUGUAAUGCAUUGCUUGGGAUCCAACCCAAUCUAGUAUAGCUAGCAUAGGUCGGCUUAAAGUAUUGUCAGCACUAAAGUUAAUUAUUUGGCGGUGUAGGCGGUGUUGGCCUUCCAGUUGGCAGGGAUGACAUCGUCGUAGACGGACUUGGUGCCUCCCUCGGUAGUGAGGCGGACGGUGAGGGGUCCCUUAAGCGGUUUGUCGCUGUCCUUCCUCCAGAUGGCGCCCCAGGAGUGCUUCAGGGGCUCGUAUGUGUCGGAGCCCUUCUCCUUGACGUCCACUGCCACAAUGUCACCGUCGCCGUCGACGUACUUGACCAGCAGUGCCAGGUAGUUGGGGCCGCACCCCUUUUCAAGGUGGAAGGUGACCUUGGAGUCGUACUUGCACUUAACCCUUCGGAACUGCAUGUCGAUGAUGCCCGCCUUGCGUAGCUUCUCCUCCUCGCCCUUCUUGGCCAUGGCGCCGAACGCCGUGCCUGCUAAAUCGAAGUGGUACGCCGCGAUAGGCUCAUAGUUCAUGUCCGUGAUGUGCACCACCACGGGCUUGCCGGAGCACUCCACAGGCUUAUCGCACUUGAUCUCGAAGCAGGACCCACAACCCAGACCAUCCUUGAAGAUGGGGAUGUUGCCGCAUGCGCCCAUGCUAUUGAAGGGGGGCUUGUUCACGUCCUUGUACCCGCAGCCGCCACCGUUGUCGUCGGGACCGGCACCCGUCGGCUUGCCAUACCAUGUCGCUUUAGCGUCCAACCAGUCCUUGCCAUAGGUGGCCGUGAUGUUCUUGCCUGGGGGGACUUUGGGAGGACCGCACCAUGCGCCGCUCACCAAGAACACCAACGCCACAGCCAUCGCAACAUGUGCCCGCAUCGACGACCACAUGGUUCUCACAUUCACAGCCAUGUUUUGUCUUGGAUUAGUGAAUGGUACUAUGCUACGAUGAAUGAGAGGGUAGGCCUGAAUUUAUGGUUGUGUGUGCCAACGGUUGGACGAUCGAGCUUGCAACCGUGAAGCGCGCGCAUGCAUGCACCAACGAGGAGGUAGAGUUUGCAUGGUCGAGCGAGCUUUUCUCUUGGCCACCAGUUUACUAAUUGGUUCCGUAAGUCGAAGGCGACCAUGCAUGGUAGCUCUGCAUGCAAAGCUGCUCGUAUCGUCGCGAUACUUAUGCCAUGGUGCUACUUUGGCUAAUGGUGAAGCGAGGACUCUCCUUCUUCUCGCUUUGAAAGGGAAAUAACCUCAACAUUUCCUAUAAUCGAUUUUGGUGUUUGACGUCCAUCACAAAACCAUAUGGACUAAUUAGUUUGCCUAGUGGACAUUUUUCCCACGUGCAUAAAGUUCACAUAAACAUACAAAGAAAAGGACUUGAGUGAAUUCUACAAAGUUUGGAGCAUACAAGUUCUUGUGCUACCAGUAGCGCACCGGACACUGUCCGGUGUGCAUCGGACACUGUCUGGUACCCUGGCUGAGCACCUCGCGAACUGGUCGCUCUCGGGUUUUCUCAGCGUUAGUCCGCUAAAAUUCAUCGAACUGUCCGAUGCACCACCAGACUAUCCGGUGAGACAACGGAGCAACGAUCAACUUCGCUGACUACAGGGCAGUCUGCAGCGCAGAAGUCAGAAGUCAGUCUGCAAAGUCAGAACACACCAGACUGUUCGGUGUGCCACCAGACUAUCCAGUGCCACAAGAAGACAGUAAACUUCAACGGUCAAUAGCUCCAAACCCCAAUGGUCAACAGCUCCAAACCCCAACGGUCGACUCACGUGGCACUCACCGGAUAGUAAACAAUGCAGUGUUCCGUGCACCACCGGACUGUCCGGUGUGCCCAUCUACAGCAACGGCUGGAAUAGUGGUUAGGGCUAUAAAUACCCCCGACCACCACCAUUCAAGCCACCCAAGCAUUGCAACUUCCUCAUUCAAUACUAGAGCAAAAGAAUACACUCCAAACACACAAUCAAACCAUCAACCCCUCUCCAAGCUUCAAAAUCAAGUCAAGUGAUCAAAAGUGCUUAGUGACUUGAGAGAGGGUGAUUUGUGUUUGUUUUGUUGCUCUUGUUGCUUGGUUGCAUUCUUCUUCUCAUUCUAAACUUCUCAAGUGUUUUGUAAAGCAAGCGAGAGACACCUAAUUGUGUGGUGAUCCUUGCGGGGUCUUAGUGACACGUGUGAUUAAGAAGAUGCACUUAACCGGUCUAAGUGACCGAUUGAGAGAGGAAAAGGGUUGGAAUAGACCCAGCCUUUGUGGCCUCCUCAAUGGGGAGUAGGUUCCUUGGAACCGAACCUCGAGAAACAAAUCACCGUGUUCACUUGAGUUGAUCUUUAUCACUCGAUUUGUUUCUUCCCUCUCCUCUCUUCCUAAAAGUUCCCUUGCUCACAUUGAUUUGAGUUUGAUACCAAAGUUAUCCGCAUUGAUUGAGCAACUCAAAGCAAGGAGAACUAUCUCCCGCUCUUCGAAUUUAAUAUUAUUUAUCUCUAACCCUAACCCCGUGUGAAGUGCGUGUUCAAAGUUUAUAAUUUUCAAGUUUCGCCUAUUCACCCUCUCUAGGCGACUUUCAUGCUUCCUAUGGAAGAAUGUCAUUGUUGCCACAUAUUUUUAAGUCAUUAUAUUGGAGCAAAGUGGCGUAACCAUGUCAACCUCUAUUAUUCGUGGAAACGAUCCUUCAGGGAUUGUCGCAAGUUAAUUGGUAUAUCAAAUGUGCGAAUGUAGGAUUUAAACAUAGCGUAAUCUUCAAGACUCCACAUCUAAAUGAACAACUAGAAAGAUGACUUGUCUAGACAAUUAUAGGGAAUUGAACCAUAAACAUUCGAGGUACUCCAAUUAUACAAAAAUGUAAUUAUGAGAUUCGUGUUGGACAAACGAGGUCAAAUUUAACCAAAUUUAUAUUCAGUAUUCUUAAUAUUUAUAUCAAAUAUAUUAUACUAGAACUUUUAAUACAUAGUGAAAUGAACUGCGAGCUUUCCAAAGAACCCCAACAUUCUUCUUUGCUAAAAAAGACUAUUUUGUAUGCGCAUGCAUAGGCAACUAAUUCUUCUAACUAGUUGUUAUAACAUUUUCUUUUAUAUAUACUAGUCAGUUGUCAGUAUGUUACUAUGGUUUUCAUAUUCACAAUAUUAAUAAUAUACAUUCUUUCUAGAACAUGAAUAAAUAUGUGUUUCAGUGGUUAGACGCUAAGCAUAGGAGGAAUGGUUCUAACCCUAGGUUCUACAUUUUUUGGAUUUUCUCAUGGGAGAACUUAACGCAUAAAGGGCGACAUCUUAAUUAAUGUUGGAAAUUGUACAAGUAAUGCAUGCAAACGGUGAAGACAGAAGUUUUAUCUCAUGAGUAGAAAGCUCAUGUUAUGUAACACAAAUGAACACCUUAGCGUCGACCUUCAAAGAACGACCAACACACGUUAAGGAUGGCCCUACAUCUAGAAUCAGCAUGUACUAUCAUAUAUUUCAAUUAGUCAUAAAAAAUAUGUAUUCUAUUAAAAUGUAGCCAUGCAUGAUAAAGUUAGGAUUACGUAGGAGAUACAUGGACAACACAACAUUCAUGGAUCCUUUUAUAAAAAAUGAAGGCCUAUCAAAUAUUUCAUUAGGCACUUAUUAUAUAACGUGUCAAUCCAUUUCUUAACUCUGAUCUUUUAAACAACAGCGAAGUCUCACUCUAGCUAUAUAUGGAGAUGAAGAAGAUGGAGAAGGAGGAUGACACCAUCAUUGUUGGCGCCAGCAUCACUGUCAUAAUAGGGUAGUGGUAGCAAAUAGAUAUCACGGUCCAAUGCAUGCAUGUGUAAUGCAUUGCUUGGGAUCCAACCCAAUCUAGUAUAGCUAGCAUAGGUCAGCUUAAAGUAUUGUCAGCACUAAAGUUAAUUAUUUGGCGGUGUAGGCGGUGUUGGCCUUCCAGUUGGCAGGGAUGACAUCGUCGUAGACGGACUUGGUGCCUCCCUCGGUAGUGAGGCGGACGGUGAGGGGUCCCUUAAGCGGUUUGUCGCUGUCCUUCCUCCAGAUGGCGCCCCAGGAGUGCUUCAGGGGCUCGUACGUGUCGGAGCCCUUCUCCUUGACGUCCACUGCCACAAUGUCACCGUCGCCGUCGACGUACUUGACCAACAGUGCCAGGUAGUUGGGGCCGCACCCCUUUUCAAGGUGGAAGGUGACCUUGGAGUCGUACUUGCACUUAACCCUUCGGAACUGCAUGUCGAUGAUGCCCGCCUUGCGCAGCUUCUCCUCCUCGCCCUUCUUGGCCAUGGCGC
rnacentral:lncRNA from 1 species